GCUGUUCAAAAUGAUUCCUUUUACAAGACUGAUUUACUUCAAGAUCUUAAGUUGAAAUCUAAAAGAAGAAUGUGAGACAGAAGAGAAUAAAAGAGUUGAGGCUAAAAGUACAACUACUCCAGCAAGUUAACCGGGCUUUAGCCAAUUCAACAGUUCUGUGGUUGACAAAAUAUACAAGGCGUACAACCAUAGUUGUAAAAUUGAGAAUUGAAAUUUUCAUUUUGUGAAUCUUGAAUCAAGAAUCGAAUCUUACGAUUCAGAAAAACAUAUUUAAAAAUUAAUUAAAAAUAAUAUAUGUUCUAAAAAUAAGAAUAAAAAUUAUCAUAAUCACAUAUUUUAAUAAAUAUAGAAUUAUUAUUUAUAAUAAUAUAUUUUUAUUAUAUUAUAUAGUUUUAUAUUAUAAAUUAGAAGCUCUUAAAUUAUAAAUAAUGAUUAUCAUUAUGUAUAUACUGAAACUCUCACUUAAAUUUAUCAAAUAAUUAAAUAAUAAAAAAGUUAAUAUGUUACAUUGAAACAUUACAAUAUAUUAAUAUAAGAGAGAAAGGGAAAGGGAAAAAAUGGGUGAUGGAAGAAAAAUAGAUUAGCAAAAAGUUUAUGUGCACUUUUUAUAGCAAAAAUAAAUGAAUUAUGAAACUAAUACCCUUUCAAAAUAUAAUCCCUUGAAUUGAAUAAAAAUUUGGUCUUUUCAUAACGAUUCACUUGAUUCAUUAUCAAUUCUUUCAAUUUAGUCUCAAUUUAGGUAUGGUUUGCGUCAUAGAUGCGAAUCGCUUGAAUGUGAAAUAGAAUUGAGAAUCAUAAUAUUUGAAUCAAGAAUCAUAAGAUCAAUUAUAUUUAAGAUUCGCCAUAUAAAUUCAAAUCGAUGUGGUAGAAAAUAAAUUUGAAUCAUAAGAUUCGAAUUGAGAAUAGUGGGUAUACAGAUUAAACCAUUUGUCAUUAACAUAUAUAAGGUGUAGAGAAGAGGACACCUAGUUCAUUAAUAUAAAUCAUCAUGUUACAUUUAAGAUUGAGAAGCAGCUAAUAAUUCCAUCAGAAAGUAGGUCCAGCAAUUUAGUUACAAGGGAGACUGAGUGGGUGAUGUUUUGGAUACUUGUUCAAUUAUUGUUGAAGCAGGAUCAGACUUGAAGUUGAGGAUGCAAGCAAAUUAUCUCCAACGACAAGAUAAGAUAAAAGAAAACCACGAGUAUGGACCAAAUCGCACUACAACUGAGCUGCAAGGUGUCUAGAUCAUAUAUCUAAUAUUUGUGUUUGUGGAAGUAUUUUCAUAUCUUUAUAAGAAUUUAGUAUUUUAAUCCGUAUUAGCCAAAGAUUGUAGCUAGAGUUCGAGUAAAAGGAGAUUUCGUGUGAAAAGAAGGAUUUUGCAAAAAUUUUAUAAAUAUCUAAAAAUCAAUGUGUAAAGAGGGUUUGGUCUUCACCUUGAAGAAACUUUUAGGGGAACGAAAGAAUGUAGGUGGGAAAGGGCUAAACCUCUAAACUUCUAUUUGCAAUAUUUUCUAACAAUACUGUCUAUUUUUAUUGAACUUGUGCAUGCGUUGCUUAUACUGUGGUCGCUGAGUAUUAAUAGGAAAUUAUCUUUAGAAGAUCUUAUUAUAUCUGUGUCAAAUUUUUCAGAAACAUAAUUUACUCCCUUCUUGGGUUACCUUCGAGCCUUGUAACUGCCAUGAUAAAUGUUUCUAGUCCCAUGGAUACCAACUAUUAAAACCUGUACAAAGCUGCACUAAUCUCAAAAUCAAUAUGAUGGUGAGAAUAAGAUAAAAGUCACAAUGAGAGAAGAUCAUUCCACAAACAAGCCAAACCACCAUCCGAAUUAGAAUCCCUUAUGACAAAUAUAUUCUUAUACCCAAACAUAUACUUAGUACACCUCAUCCUCUCUUAGCCAACUUAAAUUUCCAUGAGAGAGAAUAUCAGAAACUUGAGGCAAAUACAAAUGCCGAAGCUUAGCAACAAAUCAAUAGUAUUCUCAGUUGAGAAAAUUGAAGAGAGAUAAGAGCAUAGUAAGACUUGAUAAUAGUAUCAACAUAUGGGAAACAGGAACAAAUAGUUGAAUAUAUUAAUCGCAGCCAAGGCUAAGGAGACUUGAUCAUCUUCGUUUGCAGAUCAUUUGCAUCCUUAUAUUAACUUGUUAUGCACUUAAUAUUGUGGCCCAUCCUUAAGGUAAGUGUUGUCACUGUGUAUCCAUAUACUUUCUGAUUUCAUAUUCCCUUGUAAGACUUCAACAAUCUGUAUCAAGUAGCAAUAUUAGUUAACAACUAGGGAUGACAUGGAUGAUAAUUAACUUAAACAAAUUAUUUUUUUCAAAUUUCUGUGAUUUUUUAAAUAUUAAUAAUUUUGCAUCAACUUGCAAAUUAUGUAUAAUUGUUUCCGUAUAUAUGAAUCCUGUAAUUUAAAAAAUAGUAAUAAUAUAUUUAGCCAAUACUUAAAAAAUAAUUAAAGGUAGGUCUAUUGAUUUUAUCAUACCUGACUUAAUUUUGGACGAGUUUUCGCAGGUUUGUAUACACAAGCUGCAGCACAAUGAAUCAUUUGAAUCAUUUCAAUUAUUUCACAAUUGUUCUGCAAUUUGACAUCAAUAAUACUGUUGUAAUUAUGUGUAUUAAAAGCUUCUGCGAGUUGAGGUGCCACCUGAAAUUUUAAGAUAAAAAGUAUUAGCGAUAAUUAUAUAUCUCUUAUCAUAGAAAUAUAUAAUUUUAUUCAAACGUUAAUAUAAAAAUAAUUAAAACAAUACUAACAUAACAAAAAAUUUCAUGCUUGUUUACAUGUUUAAUUUCAAAAUAAAUCAAUUACAACAUUAAAAUGGCAGAACUAAUUUUGUUUUGAAAAAAAAAAAGAUAACAUAAAAAUUAUAUUACUCUUAAAUUAACAACACUGUAAUGCUAAUAUUCUAUCCAAUCAAACAUAUUUCUAUUCGGUAUACAAGAAUCUAAACUUAAUGUGUAUAUUUCAUCUUAGUUUUGCUUAUCUUGAGGCCCUUACUCUUGAGAAUCCUUAUCCAUAACUCCAAAAUUAACUCAUUGAUUAAAUUUAUCCACUGAGACAACAAAAUUAUAAAUAAUAUACAUCAUGGAACAUCAUAUUUAAAAUGUCUAACCAUAACUAAAAUUAUUAUAUCGAGACUUAAAGUUGAUCUCUAAGGUAAACCUAACAUUAUUCUCUCGUACAUGUCCUUAGUAAUUGUUAUAGAUUAUAGGAAGUAAAUAUUCUAAUAUAGGAAAUAAAUAUUAAUAAAUGUAUUAGUUGCUUAAUCUUAGGAAUUUCAUAAACAUAAGUUUGAUUUUCUUUCCUUUCUAGAUAUGAUUUCUCAUGUAUAAAUAUGUUGUAAUCUUUAUUGUAAGAAGAAUAACAAAUAUUACCUUUCUACAUUGUAUCAGAGCCUCUCAUGUGAGAUUUGAAUUUUUUUUCCUGUUCUAUUUGGAGACUCGGGACUCCUGUUCUUUUAGGUUAUCUAUAGAGGGUAACAUUUAUCUCUCACCGCUCACCCAGGAAAGACGCGGGAGCGCUGGCGAAGCGUCCCUAAAGAGCCGACGGUUGUCCGGCCAGCGAGUGAGUUUCACACACCGCGGUAAGAUUUCUGACGGUCCCACUCAUCAGCACGUGGAGGUGCGUCGCAUGUCCGUUGCUACUCUGGUCACCCUCACCGGAGUCGCCUCGAAGCCCCCUCAGUAGUUCUGCAGUCUGUUUGCCGAUUAGGUAUUGAGUAUAGGUGUUUUUAGGUUUGGAUCGCAUUCUGGCACUAUUCACCUCCAUUCUCUGGUACUGUUCACGCCUUAUUUCUUAUGAUUGCCAUUAUUUUGGUUGGUUGUUCUUAUGGCUGUAAUUAAAAACACCGUAGCUAAGGUAAUUUUGGUGAUGACUAAAAUCACGGAAUACAAAUUAAAUAGAUCUAAUUUUAUGGAUUGGAGUAAAACUAUCCGUAUUUAUUUAUAAAGUAUUAGAAUGGAUGAUCAUCUUACCAAGAAUCCUCCAAUUGAUGAAACUAAGAAAGAUAGGAUAAGGGAUGGUACUCGAUAAUUUUUGCAGAUCCAAAAUUCUAUUCAUAGUAAGGUAAUCAGCCUCAUUAAUUAGUAUGAAUUUGUUAAAGAAUUAAUGGAUUAUUUGGAUUUUUUAUAUUCUGACAAAGAGAAUAUUUCUCGUAUUUAUGAUAUGUGUAAGGCAUUUUAUCAAGCUGAGAAAUAUGAUAGAACUCUGACCUUCUAUUUUAUGAAUUUUAAAAGAGUGUAUGAGAAACUUAAUGUCUUGAUGCCUUUCAGUACAAAUGUGAAAACUUAACAAGCUCAACGAGAGCAAAUGGCUGUUAUGAGCUUCAUUGCAGGUCUUCCUCCAAAGUUUGAGAUAGUUAAAUCUCAAAUUAUUUCUUACUCUAAAAUAUCAUUGUUACAUGAUAUUUUCACUAGAGUGUUGCAUACAAAGUCUCCAAUUCCUUCACACACCACUAGUACUUUUGUUAGUCACAAUGACAGUGGAAGAUAAAAUAACAGAGGUAGGUACAAGGGAGAUUUUAACGGUGGUAGGGGAUCUGAGCGUCCUUGGAAAGCAAUUCCUACUUCUGACUCCGGUGGAAUCAUUUGUUAUUACUGCCGUGAACCUGGACAUACUAAGAAGACAUGCCUGAAACUUCAAAAUAAGAAUCAGCGCUUACAAAUGGUGCAUAUAGUAGUUGAGGCCUCUUCUGAUCAAGAAAUUUUGAUAUCUGCAGAUGAGUAUGCACAAUUCACUCAAUACUAGGCACCUCUGAAAUCCUCCAACUCUUUUAUCACUGCAAUUACUAAGUCAGGUAACUCUACUACAUGUCUUGUAUCUUCAUCCUCCAAAUGGAUUAUUGAUUCUGGCACUACCGAUCUUUUGUCAGGUAAUUCUACACUUUUGUCCAAUCUUAAGUCUCAUGCAUCAUCUUCUUAUGUUACUUCUUAUGUUACUCUUGUUGAUAGCACUAAAUCUUCUAUCAUGAGUUCUGGACAUGUCAACUUAACCCUUUCUCUUUAUGUAUCCUCUGUGUUAUGUCUUUCUAAGUUCUCCUUUAAUUUGCUUUCCGUUAGUAAACUUACUCGUGCACUGAAUUAUUGUGUCUCAUUCUUUCCUGAUCAUUGUGUUUUUCAGGAUCUUUCAACAAAGCAGAUUAUUAAUAGAGGGCGUGAAUCAGAUGGUCUUUACUUCCUGGAUCAAUAACUACCUAGAUCUCUUGCAUGUUCCACGAGUGUAACGUCUUUUGAUGUUCAUUGUCAUUUGGGUCACCCUUCUCUCUCAGCUUUGAAGAAGUUAUGUCUAUAGCUUCACUCCUUGUCUGUUUUAGAUUGUGAGUCUUAUCAUUUGCCAAAUGUCACCGUUUACCUAUAGCGUCUCGAGUCAAUAAACGGGCUUCAUUCUCUUUUGAGUUAGUACAUUCAGAUGUUUGGAGUUCUUGUCCUAUUGUGUUUAAGUCUAGCUUUAAGUACUUUAUUACUUUUGUUGAUGAUUUCUCUCGCACUACUUGGUUAUUUCUAACGAAGAGUCGUUCAGAAUUAUUCUCUAUCUUUUGUGCUUUGUAUGCUAAAUUCCAAACUCAAUUAAAUAUUUUCAUUUGAAUAUUGUAAAGUGAUAAUGUUAAAGGGUAUCUUUAUGUGGAAUUUCAAUUUUAUUUGUUACAAAAAGGGAUUCUUAAUUAGUUUUUCUAUGUUGACGCUCCUUCAUAGAAUGGGGUUGCAGAAAGAAAAAAUCAACAUCUUCUUGAAGUAGCUAGAGCCCUCUUAUUCCAAAUGAAAGUACCUAAAUACUUUUAGGCUGAUGCUGUAUCCACUGCUUUUUUUUUAUCAAUCGCAUGUCCUCCUCCGUCCUUCAUGGUGAUAUCGCUUAUAAUAUUUUAUUUUAACUAAAUCAAUAUUUCCUAUUGAGCCACGUAACUUUGAUUGUACUUAUUUUGUUCAUGAUGUUUGUCUACAGGUUACUAAAUUAGAUCUCAAAUCACUUAAAUGUGUCUUUCUUGGCUACUCUCGACUUUAAAAAGGGUAUCGUUAUUUUUUUCCUGAUCUUAAUCUGUACUUUGUGUCUGUUGAUGUAACAUUUUUUGAUUCCACUCUAUUCUUUUGACUAUUAUCUGUUUAUGACACCCAAGGAAAGGAAAAUAACCUCUUGUUAUGCACUGUUCGCUCUCUGACUCCUCAGAUUCUUCCUGCACCUUCCGCUCAUGUGCUUGGUCGCGCUCCCAUUUUUCAUGUUUAUUCUAGAUGCUUAGAGGACUCUGACUCCGCUCCACUACUAGCUUCUUCGUCGACAGACCUUGCUCUCACUGAUCCUUCACCGUCUGAUUUAGAUUUACCCGUUGCUCUUCGCAAAGGUAAAUGUACUUGCACUCAUUCUAUUUCAUCUUUUGUCUCUUAUAGUCAAUUAUCCUCUUCUUCUCAUUGUUUUGCCACUACUUUAGAUUCUAUUUCAGUCCCCAAACUAUUAUUGAGACUUUAUCCCAUCCUGGUUAGCGUGCUGCGAUGGAAGAAGAAAUAAUGGCCCUAGACAUUAAUGGUACUUGGGAGUUGAUAUCCUUGCCCCUAAGGAAAUGGGCUAUUGGGUGUAAAUGGGUGUUUGCAGUGAAAGUAAAGUCUGAUGGAUCUGUUGCUCACCUUAAGGCCCGUUUAAUGGUCAAGGAUUAUGCUCAAACUUAUAGAGUUGACUAUUUUGAUAAUUCUCUCUAGUUGUCAAGCUCGCAUUUGUUCCAUUAUUUAUUUCCUUGGCAGCUACACAUGAUUGGGCUUUGCAUCAACUGGAUAUUAAAAAUAUUUUUCUCCAUGAUGACCUUCAGGAGGAGGUUUAUAUUGAGCAACCACUUGAUUUUAUUGCUCAGGGGAAGUUAGGCAAGGUUUGUAGACUUCGAAAAUCCCUCUAUGGCUUGAAACAGAGAUUUCGGGCAUGAUUUGGCAGGUUUAGUGAGGUAGUCCAACAGUUUGAAAUGAAGAUGAGUAAGUGUGAUCACUUAGUGUUUCAUAGAAAUUCUAAUAAUAGAGUAAUUCUGCUUGUAACAUAUGUGGAUGAUAUUGUUAUCAUAUGCUUUUUUAAGUCGAUGAAUAACAUGUAUAAUUCUUCUUUAUCUUCCGAUAAAUUACCACUAAACUUCUUAAUAAAGAAAUAGAUUUUAUUGUAAAUCUAUCGAAUUUUCCCUACUUUUCCACUAUGUCCUUUUAAGAUACUAGUUAAGUCCAAACAAUGCUUGAACUUGCUCACAAUGAGAGAUUUAGUCAUCAUAUCAAUUGGAUUUUCUACAAUAUCAAUUUUCUUAAUAAAAAAUAUUACCCUUACUGAUAAUAUCACAAACAAAAUAGUAUCUCACAUCAAUGUGCUUCGUCCUCUCUUGAAACAUUUGAUCUUUUGUCAAAUGAAUAGCACUUUAGUUAUCGCAAUGGACGAUAGUCACCUAUUGACUUGUAUUGAGCUCACCAAAUAAACCUCUUAACUAAAGAGCUUCUUUUAUAGCCUCAGCUAUUACCAUGUACUUUGCUUCAAUAGUAGAUAAUGCAAUUAUAGGCUGUAAAGUAGUUUUUCAGCUAAUAACAGUAUUGCCAAGAGUAAACACAGCCUGUAAUGGAUAUUAUUUUAUCCAUAUCACCUGCAUAAUCUGAAUUAACAUAACCGACAACAUUGUUCUUACUCCUUUCAAAGUGUAAAGAAUAAUUAAUAUUGCCUUACAAAUAUCUCAAAAUCCACUUCAUGCUUGCUAAUUUUCUUUUCAAAAUUAGAUAUGAAUCUACCAACCACACUAAUUGCAUGUGAAAUAUCAGGACAAGUACAGAUUGUAGCAUAUAUAACACUACCAACAGCAUUGAGGUAAGAAACAUUUGAUAUUUAUUCAAUAUCUUUUUCUGGCUGAGGUGAUAAAGCAGCUGAUAAUCUAAAAUGACCACCAAGUGGAGUACUUAUAAGUUUCACAUUUUUCAUACCAAAAUGCUCUAAGACAUUCUUAAUAUAACUCUUCUAAAUUAGACAUAAUAUACCCAUAGUUCUAUUUCUUUGAAGCUGCAUACCUAAAAUUUUUGUUGUUGCUCCUAAAUCCUUCGUCUCAAAUUCACCACUCAACUCAUUCUUUAAUUUAUUGAUCUUAGACAUAUUCUUGGCAGCAAUGAGAAUAUCAUCAAUAUAAAACAAUAAAUAAAUGAAUGAACCAUCAAUAAAUUUUUUGAAAUACACACAACUAUCAAAUUGGCUCCUCGAAUAGUCAUAUUAAACCAUAAAGAGUCAAAUCAUUUAUACCACAAUCGAAAAGAUUGUUUCAAAUUAUACAAUGACUUCUUCAGCAGUCAAAUAUGGUCUUCUUUCCCUUCAACUUCAAAACCCUCAAGUAACAUUUAAAUCGUCUCUUUCAGGUCACCAAUCCAGUUGCCCUAGCUCUAAAUUACAUAUGGCAACUAAUGCAAGCAAGACAUAGAUAAAGCUAUGUCUAAUAACAUGUGAGAAAAUAUCAUUAAAUUCAAUCUCGCAAACCUAACUAUAGUCCUUUGCUAUCAAUCGUGCUUUGUAUCUAGCAUCUUCAAUACUUGAAAUUCCCUCUUUCUUCUUAAAGGCACAUUUGCAUCCAACAAUUUUCUUAUCUUUUAGUAGUUUGGCCAAUUCCAAAAUCCUGUUCUUGUAGAGAGAUUUCAUCUCCCAUUUCAUGGCAACUAACCAUCUAGCUUAAUCAUCACAAGAGAUUGAAUAUGAGCAUGUGAAAGAUUCACCACUAGCUUCCAUUUCUUAUGUCAUUGACAUUACAAGAGAAACAUAAUUUGUAUGAAGCAACUUGCUAGGUAAUUUCCUCUAUCUUUUGGGUCUUAGACUUUCUUCUUGUUGUAAUGUUUCAGUCUGAACAGGAGAAGAUAACUGAACAGGGACUUGUUGUGAAGAAUUAUCAUGUGUAGGUGCAGACUCCACCUCUAACUCAAUCCUAUUAACUAGAUCCAUUGAACUCGUGUUUAGCUCCACAAUCGAAUCUUUUAAACCUGAAUCUGAAGAAGCAAACGAUUCCUUAAACAUCUCAUAUUCAUUAAAUUAAAUACGACAUCUCUACUGAUCACUGAUUUUGACAGAUCAUGAUCUAGAAGUCAUACUUUGUAUCCCUUGACACCAGAUGGAUAACCAAUAAAAAUACCUUCUAUGGAUCUAGCCUCCAAUUUUUCACUAUUGGUAUGAAAAUAAACAGGACAACCAAAUACCCUCAAAUAGAAUAACCAGGAGAGUUACUAGACCAUACUUCUUUGGAAGUCUUUAAUUCAAUAGUUGUGGAUGGAGAAUAGUUCACCAAAUAGUAUACUAUAAUAGUUGCUUCUAUCCAAAAAUCCCGAGACAAGCUAAAAUUAGACAACAUAUAAUUAACUUUUUCUAACAAAGUUUUGUUCAUGUGCGCUGCAACACCAUUAUGCUGUGGAGUCCCUCUGUCUUUGAGAUGCCUAAAAAUGCCUUCAUCUUUGCAGAACUUGUUAAAUUCACUAUCACAAAACUCUAGUCCAUUAUCUGUGCGGAGCCUUUCAAUCUUCUCACCUAUUUGCUAAAAGGAAGGAAAAUAAGCAAAAAUAAAUCUAGUUACAACAGGCCACAAAUUUUUUGCUACAAUAGAUUUCCUGCUUGGCUAGGUAUCAUAUAUCAAAUUCACUUCUCUGUGAGCAUGUUGAAUACGAAAGGUAAGAAAGACUUUAGAUAAGCUAAUGAUAGAAUUGUGCAUUGAGAAAACCUCCAAAGAUAUUUAUCUUGGGGAGACACCCGAGAAACUGCAACAAUAGAAUUAGAUUCCACAAGACACCAUGCAUUAAGGACCAAACAUCUCAAUGAGGAGCUAGAAUACUUAAGGCCUUUUCUAUUGUAAGAAGUUCAGCUACAUUUGAGUCUACAAUACCAACAGGACAUGAGAAAACACAUAUAAACAUACUAUGUGACUCACAUAGCACACCUCCAAUAGCAGCUGACCUGACUUCCAAAUGGAGGAACCAUCAACAUUCCAUUUAAUCCAAAAAGGAUCAAGCUUAACCCAAAAGAAAUUAGGCCUAGGCCUAGCCUAGAGCAAUAAGAUGACCACAUCUGAUAGCUUCAAAAGAAAUUAGAAGAUUUAAACUAGAAGAAGGAAAAGAAGCGUCCAAAGCUUUCAUCCAAAUGGACGCACGAUGGAGGAUAGGAGGGCGUAAGAAAUCCAUAUUAAGAUCUUUUCCAUCAAAAUUUUCUCUUUUCUAGUCAAGUACAGAGACCAUAUUAUAGCAUUAGCUAGUAACAAGCAAAACUUAGUUUGGAACUUCCCAUGAGCCAAGAAUUUCUAUUCGGAUAAAAGCAAAGGGACUGAACUUGGUUAGUAAAAGUGAAUGCCCCAUCAUUUGAGAAAUCAUGUACAAAUCUCCCUAGAAAGAUGGCAAUGGAGAAAAAUGUGAGAAACUGAUUCUUGAUAGAGCUCGUAUCUAGGACCAUAGUAUUAAGAAGGUAGAAUAUUUUUAUUUUGGACAAAAAUAUUAUUGUAAUGUCCAAUAUCAUGGAACUAACAUUUCAACUAGGAGGCUCCAUUGCAGAGGUAACCUUCCAUAACCUCUGUGUUCUCAAAGCUUAGAAGUACAUGAUCUCCACCUACUCCUUCCUCAGCAAAAAGCUCAUGCAUAAUAGGGAUGAGGUUUUUAUCAUUUUGCAAGAGUAGAUUUUGGUAACCAUUCACUAUUAAAAGAUUUUAUGUUCUCCGAAAUCUCAUACCUACCACAGACAAUAUAUGAACUGCCAGUGAAGGAUCUCAUCUCAAGACAAAUAUCAAAAGGUGGGACAACUCUAUCUAUCUUUGUUCGAGGAACAAAAAAUUGUUUGUAUUUGAAGCUCCACAUUGAUUUUGAUUAUGGCUACCGUUAUAAUCAAGUUUUGAGUUACCGAUCUUACCAUUCUUGGUAGUAAUGCUGAAGUAUGACUUGAAAGCUCGUAAUUUAAAGGUGUUGAUCCAAAGAAGAUUAAGGUUCGAAUAAGAUUUCACAUUACUGAGAUAGUAUGGACUUUUAUAAAAGAAAAAUGCUUCCCACUCUUGUUUAACUUUCUUAGGACAAAAAUAUCUGCAACGUGAGCAAACUUGAAGAUAAUCUUGCACAGCAAGGCAGUCACAAAAACUAGGUAGGUUUUCAAGAUAGAUAGUGGGAAAAAGUCUUCUUAAGGGAGGGGUUGAGAUGACCAUUAUGGGACGAUUGAGUGGAAAAAUGGAGUUAAUAGAUAAGUAAGGAAUCAAGUUUUUCUUUUUUCGAUCUACGAUAAAGGUAAUACAAGCUCAUUAAGAGAGAACUUGAAAAUCUUUUGAGUUAAGUACUCAAUAACUUUUAGAAAAAUUCUAUCAUAUCUCCUUUAUUAAUUUACUGCACUUAAAUAGCCAAGGCAAAAGACAACCUCAUCUUACAUAUAAGGAAACUCAAAAGUAUGAACUAAACAUGGAGGAACACCUUCCUACGAUUAAGGAAUUAAAAGCAACAACUAAUUAUCUGGAGAAUAUGGUUGAACUAAACCCACAGAAUAUGGCAGCAGCUCAAUCAUGUUGCAAGAAAACAAGAAUUUCUGAAUUGCCCUGUUUAGUGGCUUUGACCCGGUCUUGUAUUUCAAUAUUCUUCUUCCUCCAUGUGUGAAACUCGUGUAUAUUAGUAAGGGUUUGCUAACAACUGGCUAAUUGGGAUGGACCAAGGGUAUGAUAUGAAGGAGAGACUAGGUUGGCAGUGAUGCUGGAGGAAGAGUUGAUAGGGACAUGAUUUUUUUUUUUUCCAGUUAAGAUUAUAUAUAUGAAAAUAUGUGAAUAAAAUAUUAAAAAUAAAGGUUCAUGAAAAUAACAUUAUAGCAAACAUUCAUUACUAAAAGAAAGUUUGUACUAGUUGUAUGUUGUUACUUUAUAUAUUUUAACUGUAGCCAUAUGUUAAUAACAAGAGUUUGAGAAUUGCUAUAUCUACCUCUGCUACUGAAUAUAAGACGGUGAUUUACUUAUUUUUUUUUUAUAAUGAAUAAAAAACAUGGAUAAAAUUAUAAUUUUAUUAAAUAUAAAAUUAACUUUAUAUUAAAAUAUAUUACUAAUAAUAAAACUAUAAAUUUUCUUUAUAAUAAUUUUAAGAGAUAAUUUUACACCCAUUAUUGUUGUCUAAACUCUAAAAUGUAACCUCUAAAAUGUAACCGUGAUUUAUUUUGUUAGAAUGAGUUAUAAAAAAGUAUAAAAACAUGCAUGUCUGAACCAAAUAAAACGUAAUAUGUGAAUGAUUUAAUGAUUGUUAGAGUAAAUAAAUACUAUUAUUUAUUUACUCUAACAAUGAUGCAUGGAUUUUUGUAAUCAAGAAUGUAUUAACCGUGAUAAAUUAGUACUCUAGAUAGUGGAACAAAUGUAUACACGUACCCAAGCAACUAAGUUCAUGGAAAAAUUGCCUUCCCUUAUUACAGAUGGUUUUCCAGUAAUCAAUUCUAGAAGAACCACACCGAAGGAAAAGACAUCAACUUUUUCACUGAUCUUGCCAUCUUUGAGAAACUCAGGAGCCAGAUAACUACAAUUGGGGAACACAAGUAUGAGAAGAACCUAUUCGAUAAAUAGUGUGUAUAUAUAUAUAUAUGCACCUUACCCACGGUUUUCCAUUGCCUUAUUAUAAAUAUAGGCAACUAAAUAUGGAUGUUCUUGGGCAAGUACAAAACCUGAAAUCUGGAAUGAAAGAAUUUAUACAAGUCCAAUUAUUUUUUCAAAUAGCAUAAAAAUCAAAUUAUUGGCUCUAUUUUAUAUUUCAAAUUGAACUUAAUGAGUUUAUAAUUGAUAAGAAUUACUAUAAAAGAAACUUAUUAUAAUUAUUCUAAUUAUUGAGAAUGAAAACCAUAUUAUAUGUUUUAACAAUAUACAGUUAGACUCGGCUGAAAAAAAUUUAAAAUAAUUUAUGCUAAAUGUUUCAUACAAUAAUAUUGUAGAAUACAUCAUUAACAAAGCAAACUUUUAGUGUCUUUUGUUUUUGGAAAAUAUUUUCCUCAAAAUAUAUUUAAUAUAUUUAAGGUUUAAACCAUUUAAAAAGUAGGUCAACGAUAUUUUAAUUAAAGAAAAAACCAAGUCUCUUUUUUUUUGUGAAGCUAGACUCUAAGCUUACAUUUAAUUUAUUAGGUUAACUCUGGAAAGAUUUGUGUAAGCUGGUAAGAUACAAAUACUGUUGUAUCGACUGAUGAAUGAAUAGAGCUGAUUAUAUAGAAAAGAUUUACAAGUUUAAAAUUUGAACAUUAACAUAAAAGAAUAUAAUAUUAUCAUAAUUCUAACAAGCUUAUUUUUCAUUUAUUCAAAUUGGACUGCCUUCAUACCCUCCAUAUUUCAUCAAUCUAGUUCAAAUUUCAGAAACAUAUAUACGUAUAUGAUUAAGAUUCUCAAGAGAAAUUGUAUGACAUGUAUAUAGAGAUAUUAGCAACAAUUAUAGGAGCAUGCAUCAAGUUUUAUCUCCCUUAACUUGCUAACAACCGGCUAAUUGGGAUGGACCAAGGGUGCAAUACGAAGGUGUGGAGAGACUAGGUUGGCAGUGAUGCUGGAGGAAGGGUUGAGAGGGACAUGAUUUUUUUUUUUUUUCCUAGUUAAGAUGAUAUAUAUAAAAAUAUGUGAAUAAAAUAUUAAAAAUAAAGGUUCAUGAAAAUAACAUUAUAGCAAACAUUCAUUAUUAAAAAAAAAGUUUAUACUAGUUGUAUAUUGUUACUUUAUAUAUUUUAACUAUAGUCAUAGGUUAAUAACAAGAGUUUGAGAAUUGCUAUAUCUACCUCUGCUACUGAAUAUAAGACGGUGAUUUACUUAUUUUUUUAUAAUGAAUAAAAAAUAUGGAUAAAAUUAUAAUUUUAUUAAAUAUAAAAUUAACUUUAUAUUAAAAUAAAUUACUAAGAAUAAAACUAUAAAUUUUUUUUAUAAUGAUUUUAAGAGAUAAUUUUACACCCACUGUUGUUGUCUAAACUCUAAAUGUAACCUCUAAAAUGUAACCGUGAUUUAUUUUGUCAGAAUGAAUUAUAAAAAAGUAUAAAAACAUGUCUGUCUGAACCAAAUAAAAUGUAAUAUGUGAAUGAUUUAAUGAUUGCAAUGAUGCAUGGAUUUUUGUAAUCAAGAAUGUAUUAACCGUUAUAAAUUAGUACUCUGGAUAGUGGAACAAAUGUAUACACGUACCCAACCAACCAAGUCCAUGGAAAAGUUGCCUUCCCUGGUUUUCCGCUAAUCAAUUCAUGAAGAACCAUACCCAAGGAAAAGACAUCAGCUUUUUCACUGAUCUUGCCAUCUUUGAGAAUCUCAGGCCUGGGGAACACAAGCAUGAGAAGAACCUAUUCAAUAAAUAGUGAAUGGAUAUAUAUAUGCACCUUACCCACGGUUUUCCAUUGCCUUAGUAGAAAUACGGGCAACAAAAUUUGAAAGUACUUGGCCAAGUUCAAAACCUGAAAUCUGGAAUGAAAGAAUUUAUACAAGUCCAAUUAUUUUUUCAAAUAGCAUAAAAAUCAAAUUAUUGGCUAUAUUUUAUAUUUCAAAUUGAACUUAAUGAGUUUAUAAUUGAUAAGAAUUACUAUAAAAGAAACUUAUUAUAAUUAUUCUAAUUAUUGAGAAUGAAAACCAUAUUAUAUAUUUUAACAAUAUACAGUUAGACUCGGCUGAAAAAAAUUUAAAAUAAUUUAUACUAAAUGUUUCAUACAAUAAUAUUGUAGAAUACAUCAUUAACAAAGCAAACUUUUAAUGUCUUUUUUUUUUUUUUGGAAAAUAUUUUCCUCAAAAUAUAUUUGAUAUAUUUAAGGUUUAAGCCAUUUAAAAAGUAGGUAAAUGAUAUUUUAGUUAAAGAAAAGACUAAGUCUCUUUUUUUGGUGAAGCCAGACCCUAAGCUUACAUUUAAUUUAUUAAGGUUAACUCUGGAAAGAUUUGUGUAAGCUGGUAAGAUACAAAUACUAUUGUAUCGACUGAUGAAUGAAUAGAGGUGAUUAUAUAGAAAAGAUUUACAAGUUUAAAAUUUGAACAUUAACAUAAAAGAAUACAAUAUUAUCAUAAUUCUAACAAGCUUAUUUUUCAUUUAUUCAAAUUGGACUGCCUUCAUACCUUCUAUAUUCCAUCAAUCUAGUUCAAAUUUCAGAAACAUAUAUAUGUAUAUGAUUAAGAUUCUCGAAAGAAAUUAUACGACAUGUAUAUAGAGAUAUUAGCGACAAUUAUAGGAGCAUACAUCAAGUUUUAUCUCUCUUAAAACUUACCUUUGGUUCAAAGUUAUUGUCAAGAAGAAUAUUAUGAGAAGUGAUAUUUCCAUGUAUGACCAUAGGAGUACCUAAAAAUACACGAAUCAUAAAAUUAAAGUAAAACAUGCAAUCUCAAACAUGAAAAUAGAAUUUGAUUUACACUCACAAAAUUCAUGCAAAUAUGCCAAUCCUUUCGCACAGCCUAUGGCAAUUUUCUUUCUUCUAGACCAAUCGAUUGUUUUCUUGUGUCCUGCAUCUAAUCAAAUCUUAUAAAUGAGUACCCUUUUUCUAUUUAGAUAAAUGGAAGGCAUUUGGAUAAUCCUUCACAUAAUUAUCUAUCAAUUUUUGUAUGAUACGUAUAGUCAAGGACUCACCAUGUAAAUGAAAUCUCAAUGACUUGUUAGGAACAAACUCAUAAACAAUAAAUUUAUCAUAUUCUUCAUCGCAAUAUCCAAUCAGCUUGUUUAGAUAUUGGUAAUUGUGAUUGAUGGGAUUAACCAUUUGUUCAACUUCCAUCUGUUCACCCUCCCAAAGAUAAAGCUUGUUAAUGGCAACAGCCAUUCCAUCGAGUUCCCCCCUGUAAACUCUAGCAUAAUUAUCAUCGCGAAGCAUGCAAUUGUUGGAGAAAAAUUGAGUUGCAAUUGCUAGUUCUUCAAAAGAAAACAUUCUCGGCGAAAAAAUUUGUGCCCUCUCAAUGCCAAGUAGAGAUUCUAGACUAGUAGUAGGCCUUCCUGUAUGUGCAGUAGAAAUGUUAUACAAAUAUAUAAGCAGACAUAAAUUGAUAUAUGGAGUUCUAGUUGGGUUUACAACCCUAUUAAUCAUGGGUUGGAUAAACAACAUGAAUCCAAUAUACAUUUAAGUUUAAUAUAUUUACUCCCUCAAUUGCAUCAAUAAUAACAAUUUGAUUCCGUAUUUUGAAAUUAGUGUAUCUUUUGAUUUUACUUCAGCCACACACUUGAAUCCUUCUGUCAUGUGCUGUUAGUUUUUAAAAAUAAACUACUAUUUAAUUUUUAAAUUUUGUCAUUAUUUACAGUUUCAUUCCUUAAUUUUGUAAUUAGUUAUAAUUUUAUCCCUCAUAUUUAUCUCUUUUACCAUUCUCACUUUCUUUAUCACUCCCUCCAUCUAUAUAUCUGUCUCUUCUCUAUGACAAAGAAGAGAAAAGAGAUAAAGUAGAUGAAUGAAAUAUGAAUAAUUUCAAAAUUAAAGAAUGAAAUUGGAAAUAGUUAUAAUAUUAAGGGACUAUAUAGUAAUUUCGUAAAAUACUAACGCAAAAUGGACGAAAGUAUCUAAGUAUACGACAAAUUUUUAGAAAAUAUAUCUAAUAAAUGAAUGGAAAAUGGCUUAAGGAAUUUUUAGAAAAUAUAUGUAAAGAUGAGGAAUUUUAUGUAAUUUCAAAGAUGGAGAUUUUUAUGUUAGCAUACUAAAGAUAAAGGAGCAAAGUGUAACAAACUCUAAAUUUGAAAAGCUGAGUAUAAAUUAUCCAAAAUUUAUAUAUAUUAUUAAAUUCAUGCAUCUGUUUAUCCUUAAAUUUAUGCAUUUUAAUUUAUCAUGUGUUAAUAUUUUCAAAAAACAGUAAAAAAUAGUCAUAUCUCUAAUUUUGUAAACUUUAUAUUAUUACUUAAGUAAAAUUUGAAAAUAAAAAUAACUUUUUGCAAAUUUAUAAUUUUAAUGAAAAGUCACUAAUUAAAAGUAAUAAAGUCGCAUAUAUAAUUUCAAUUACCCUGUAUAGUUUCAAUGUCUUUCCUGUCUAUUAUCUUCUCAUGCGAAAUAGUUCCUUCAAGAACUCCAAUUAUCUGCAUGAGAUAAACUAAUUCAUGAAUGAAACAAAAUACGAUUAUAUUAAAAAAAUAAAAUAGCUUAUAAUUUUAUCAAAUUUCAGCAAAAGACCAAAUAUAUUUACGUGUAAAAUUAUUUAUUUGCAUAAUAUGAAAGAACAUUUUUAAAAUAAAAAAUGAUAAUGAUUGUGCAUAUGUGUAAUAUUUAGGAUAAAGAAAAGCAAACCAAUAAUAAUUUGAAUGAAUUAAAUAUAAAAAAUAGAAUAAAAAUUGUUAAAAGAUUAUUAUAAGAAAAGAAACAUGUAAAAAAAGUUAUGCAAAAAAAAUAAUAAUUCUACAAGUGUAAUUUUUAUCAAUUAAAUUUAUAAUGUAUUUUAUCAUAACCUGGUACAUGUGUGUAUAUACCUACACCUUUAUUCAUAAGCUAAUCCAGUACUUUUAGAAUCUCAACAUAAUACACCUUUAUUAAAGUUAAAUACUUUAGUCUUUCUAUCCAUUUAACCACUAAUACUUAAGAAAAAAAUUUAAAAUGCCAUAAUAAAAGGAGGUUCACUUUUAAAAAUAUCAAUAAUGAUAAAAUUUAAGAAUUAAAUUGCUAUCUAAUUAUUUGAAAUUUAACUGAUGAAAUUUUUUAAGAAAUACUUAAAAAAUAGAUGAAAUAAUUAAACUAUUUAUCGAAAUCAAAAGUUAAGAAUAUUUUUUUAACAAAUUUUCUAAACUAUAUGAAUAGUUUUGUUAAUAAUCCCUUAAUUUUUUUAAAUCUCUAUAUACAUACACACUUUACCUGUUUCAUUGUUGGACGAGAGUACGAAGGUUUAUAUACCGAAGCUGCUGCACAGUAAAUCAUUCUUAUCAUUUCUUUCUUGUUAUACAUAUCUUCCAAUUUUGAAUCGACAAGAUCGGUAUAAUCAUCGUUGUCCAAAGCUUGUCCAAUCUGAGAUCUAGCCUAAAUGUUGAUAAGUGAAAGUAUUUGUUAAUUUUUUUUAUAUCAAUAAAAGGUUUUUUUGAAUGCAUAUUUAGUCUAAUGUCAAGAGCAAUAUACGAUUUGAUGAAUUUGAAAAAUUUUAUAAACUAUUUACAAUAUAUUAAAAUAUGAAUAGAAAUGUAUAUGCCACUCUUUGGCAUAGAGUUGACACCAAUGAAAAUGGGACUACAUGUUUUUCAAAAAAGAAAAAAAAAACAUUAUCCUCUUGUUUGGAAUAAAAAAUUUCAUAAGAAAUCAAUUCAAUUCAAUUCAAUUCUUUUCUACAAUUUUCUUGUUUGGAAGGGAAGAAUUAUUUAUUUCUUAACUUACAAAAUUUUCAUUUUCAAAGAAAAAUAAAAUCAUACAUAAUUUUAUAAGAAUUCAUUUGAAUUAUUUUUUUGCAAAAUGAAUAUAUCAACAAAGGAGAUAGGCUUCUUAUCAAGAGCACACAUGCAAUAUAGCAAUGAGAUUACAACCCUCGCUAUUCCAAGUGAAAAGCUACACACAAACUAUGGAGAGGGCUUAGUUUGUAUUCUACAAUCAUGUGUGACUUGCAAUACCUCACACUUACCAGGCUUGACAUGUGAAAGUUUGUGAUUGAGGAUUUCUAGUUUGUUCAUUGUGCAACAAAAGUGCACUAGACUACUAUGAAGAGGAUGUCGCACUACCUUUAGGCAACUCCAGAGUAUAGGUUGCACAUAAUUAAAUCAUCAAUCCCCUGGAUCCCUACUUAUAUAGAUGCUGAUUGCGAUUUUUGUCUUGACGAUGACAAAUUUACAACAAGGUACUCCAUAUACUUAAAAAAUAAUAUUGUGUCAUGGCCAUCUAGGAUUUAGAAGAAAAAACCAUUGUAGUUCGUUUAUAAAAAUUGAGAAUUGGGCUAUUUUGACUGCCACAACAACGGUAUCUUGGAUACAAUAGUUGAUCCAUGAAAUAUUUGUGCAAUCAAAUGAAACUUCAGUAUGUGAUAAUGUAGGUUCAACUUAAGAUAACAUAAAGGGAGCUACAAUUUCAAUACAUCUCCUUGCAAGACUAGUUGGCCAAUAUUCUAAUAAAGUUAUUAUCUAGGGUUGUAACUGAAUAAAACUCCUUGUGAGCUAUUUAAGGCUUGACUCAAUAAAGAUUUGACUUAAGUUGAUUCUUUUUCUAAGUAAGCCAAGUUGAAGACUUAAGUUUUAGACUCGUUUAAUAAACUAGCUAAAAUCGAGCUUUUAAAUAUUCAACUCAUUAAGACUCGAAAGCUCAUUUGUUUAUAGAUUUACAAGUCAACUCAUAAAUAUACAUAUUUAACUGAAAUUAUUUAGUUUGAAACUAAUUAUGUUUAAAUUAAAACUUGUUGAGGUUGUAAAUGAAUCGAACUUUUUGUAAGGUAUUCGAGACUUGGCUAUCUAAACUCAUUUGCUAAAUAAAUCAAGUUUGAACUUAUUAAUACUCAAUUCGAGUUAUAAAUGAGCAUAGCUCUGUUAAAUAAUAAAUACUUUGCAAUUUUUAGAUGCAUGAAUAUAGACUAGUCUAUGGUUACAUAAUGCAUCAAAUAGCUUUUGCAUUUUAUGCUGCUCACUUCUUUGCAAUUGGUUGGUUAUGCCACAAUAGUUGGGAGGCAUUUAUGUGAAGCUAGUAUUUUCUUCUCAAGUAAUUUUCUACGUAUUCUUAUAUCCUUUUUCUAUUUUUUCGUAAAGAAUUAUUCCAUCCUUCUAUUUUAAUAGUCUUGUUUUGUUGUUUAUCUAUUUUAAUAGUCUUGUUUUGUUGUUUAUUGUGUUAUUGAUAUGUUUUUCCAUAUUUUUCACCUAACAUGCAUCAUCUGAGUUUGAGUGUAUAGAGGUCUACUAAAAUCUUAGUAGGAUAUUGUAUGCUAACCUUUUUCUAUAUAUUAUAGUAAUAAAAUUCCUUGCCUAUUAAUAUCAUACCUCAAAUUAAGCAUCAAAUUAGAUAAUAAUAAAACUCAACUAGAAUUUAUCUAACAAUAUCUCAAAUUGUGCGCAAAGAUUCUUCCUAGGUAUAAUUGAAUUCUUGAUAUCAUGUUGGAGUUGACUACAAGUAAAGGAUUUUUAAGAAAAAUACAAGAACCAAAAUCAAAAGAAGCUGGAAAGAUAUCUUUAAAGCUACAUUAAAGAUUAUUGAACCUUAAAAAAUAGGUCCAUAAGUGAUAGGAUUAAUGUAUAAAGGUAACAGAAAGGAUUGCCAAUGAUAUGUUAGCACCUCAAAUUUCAAAUUUGAUCCGUUUAGCAAGUAUUUUGAACCCGUUUUGAAGCCUUUAAAGUCAAAAACAUUUUCUCUUUGGACUUGACAAUUAAACUCUUAGUUUGCUAACUAAAUUGCUACUAUUAAUUGUUUGCUAAGUAGUUUGCUACUGUCUUAAAAUUCUAUCUCUACACAAAUUUACCAUUAUCCAAAUGUCCUACAAAUGGUCAUAAAUGCUCUUGGACUAUAAAUACUUCAAUUUUACAUCAUUUUGUGCUUAAUCAAAGUCUUAAAAUGGUCCUAUUCUUUGAGAUCAUCGGAUCCGUUCAAAGUGUUUCAAUUUUGUUUGUUGAGCUUCAUUAGCAAACCUAUUUUGUCUCAUCCUCAUAAUUGAUGAUUUUACUGAGUGAGUUGAGUGAAAAUUAAUCUACAAUGUCAUUUAUGAGGGUUGUUUAAGCACCCAGAGAAAUUGAAAAAGAGUGAGUUAGAAGACACUUACAAAGGGUUGCGAGCACCUAGUGAAGGCUUAUUAAUGUAAAAGGGAUAUCCUAUCCAAUGAAAAGAGAAUAUAAUGAAGCAAAGAUUCAAAGUGAAGCUUUGAGAGAGUGGACGUAGGCUAGUUAUAGCAUAAACAAUAUGAAAAUCUUUGUGUUCAUUUCUCCAAGCCCUACUCUCUUUACUUUAUUUCAUUUUAUUGAGUUAUAUUGAGAUUAAAGAAUUGACUGUAAUUAGAUUUGGAUGCUUUAGUGAAAACUUCAUUGAGUUAAGCAUACUGAUCUUAGUUCAUAUUGUUUUGUGCUGCUUUAGGUUGCUUCCAUAUUCUAGAUUGAACAUCUUGUGAAAUAUAUAUGCUUGUUUGAAGUGCUUGGCAAAUCUACCACAAUUAAGCACACUUAAUUGAUUUUAGCCUCAAUUUUUUAAAAGUAUCAAGCAAGAGUCGAAAAAUUGACCCCUAAUCACGAUUUACCCUUUAACGUGUGAUUGGCUAAAAAACUAUUUGACCAAAUUUUAAAGUUCUAUAUUCCAAUAAUACAAUCAUAUUACUCUGAAUAUUUUCACCAUAAAGGCAGAGGAGAAAAGUCAUUGCCUAAGUAAUAACUAUGAUAGAUUUAGAAGAAAGGACAUAGUGGCAACUUGUUCCUUGCAGGAUCCAUUACCCUUCUUCACCAUGAGCCCAACAACCUAGGUUCCAUCUACCAAAGUUAUCAUCCAAUAAUUUUGGUGCAUCAAAUUGUUUGGAACCUAAAAUUACUCGUCUAUCUAGCUUGAUAGACAACUCCAUCUUUGUUUUAGUGAUCAACCAUUAAACGGCUAGAAGAAGGUUGCACUACAUGGCUUAAAAGUACUUUGUUGAUGAGCGUUCGUGUGGAUCAAAGGUCAACGUUUGAGGCUCUCGGUUCUCAUGCUGAGAGAAAUGAUUCUAUACAACAAGAGAUAAAUAGACCUCUAAUUAUAAAAUAGGUUUUCUCUCUUUUACAUUUCUCAAAAUGGUUGAUGGGCUUAAGUUUCAAUUCGAAAGACAUAAGAGUUGCAUCUAGUUGUGUAUUUGUAAACUAUUUUAUCAUGGAAAUUGAAUUGGCAAUGAGCUUGACAGUCUAGAUUAACUAAGUUACAUUAUUUUAUGCAUGCGCUCUCCAUUGUGCAUUUUCAUAUAUACACACAUAAGGUGAAGUUUUUUCUAUUAUUAUUUUUUUGGGUGAUUUACAAUUUAGUCCCUGAGUAUUGCUAUUAUUAACAAGUCAGUCCCUGUAUUUUUAGAAACCUAUUAAAACGUCCUUAUAUUUUAUUUCCAUCAACGAAAUAGUCCUUCCGUCCUAUUUUCCGUUAAAAUUAGAUAAAGGAGGAGAGAGAAAAUUUUUAAAAUUCAAUUUUACCCUCAAAUAAAACCAUUUAUUUAGUCCUUGUAUAUUGCAAUUAUUAAUAAGUUAGUCCUUACAUGUUCAAAAAUCUAUUAAAAUAUUUUUAUCUUUUUUCAUAUCUAUUAAAACGUCCUUAUCAUUUUUUUUCGUCAAUGAAAUAGUCCCUAUCUUUUCUCAUAUCUAUUAAAACAUCCUUAUUGUUUCUUUAUGUCAACGAAAUAGUCCCUCCUCAUCGUUUCUUUCUGUCAACGAAAUCGUCUCUCCCUAUAUUUUUAGAAAUUUAUUAAAACGUCCUUAUUGUUUCUUUUUAUCAACGAAAUAGUCCCUAUCUUUUCUCAGAUCUAUUAAAACGUCCUUAUCGUUUCUUUUUAUCAACGAAAUAGUCCCUAUCUUUUCUUUCCUCCUCCUCCUCCCCCUCCUCCUCCUCCUCCUCCUCCGAAAAAGAAGAAGAAGAAGAAGAAGAAGAAGAAGAAGAAGAAGAAGAGAAAGAAGAAAAAGAAGAAAGAGGNNNNNNNNNNNNNNNNNNNNNNNNNNNNNNNNNNNNNNNNNNNNNNNNNNNNNNNNNNNNNNNNNNNNNNNNNNNNNNNNNNNNNNNNNNNNNNNNNNNNNNNNNNNNNNNNNNNNNNNNNNNNNNNNNNNNNNNNNNNNNNNNNNNNNNNNNNNNNNNNNNNNNNNNNNNNNNNNNNNNNNNNNNNNNNNNNNNNNNNNNNNNNNNNNNNNNNNNNNNNNNNNNNNNNNNNNNNNNNNNNNNNNNNNNNNNNNNNNNNNNNNNNNNNNNNNNNNNNNNNNNNNNNNNNNNNNNNNNNNNNNNNNNNNNNNNNNNNNNNNNNNNNNNNNNNNNNNNNNNNNNNNNNNNNNNNNNNNNNNNNNNNNNNNNNNNNNNNNNNNNNNNNNNNNNNNNNNNNNNNNNNNNNNNNNNNNNNNNNNNNNNNNNNNNNNNNNNNNNNNNNNNNNNNNNNNNNNNNNNNNNNNNNNNNNNNNNNNNNNNNNNNNNNNNNNNNNNNNNNNNNNNNNNNNNNNNNNNNNNNNNNNNNNNNNNNNNNNNNNNNNNNNNNNNNNNUGUAAAUCUCCCUAUUUUUUUUUUUUUUGUAAAUAGUUAAUACAAUCUUUAUGAUCUAGAUAUAAGAUAAGUAAGGAGAUAAGUGUUGAUAGGUAAGGGAAAACCCAUAUGUGCCUUCUUCCUCUAAAAGUCUCAUGUCUCAAUUAAUCAAAAGCUACAAAGAGAGCAAAAGGAUAAGGGCGUGCGAAGGAGACAAUGGUCAUGGUGAAUGGUGCUAAAGGAUUUAGUGGUGACAAGACUAAACUGAUGUUAAGGUGAAUGGUGCUUGAAGUUUUGGUAAAGAAGAAUUACGAUAGAGGCUUAAAGAGAGUUAAAGAUGUAAUCAAGAGAAGUAGUUUACAGAAAGAGAUUCCAUAUAGCAUAAGAGGUAUUAUAUAAUCCGUUAUAGUUCGUUUUGAACUACUCAUCUUACAAAUAGAAAUAAAAUAAAAUGAAUUAUGCAUGAUUUUAAUUUAUUUUAGAAUCAAUUUUUUUAGUUAAAAUAUAGUUAAAUUCUUCCAUUUUAAUAAUAAGAUUGAUAAAAAAAAAUCAAUUGAAUUUAAUUUUAGUAAUUUUGUUUUUCAAAUAAAGUGUUAGAAACAAAGGAGAGGAGAGAUAAAUGUAGAAUUGAUACGUUAGCAAGUAGUUACUUAAGGUAUAACUUCAUUGUUCAAUGAGCUAUUAUGCAGGAUGAUGCUAAAAUUUAGGUCAUAGUAUUGCAAACCCCUUAAAUUUAGGAAUACUGUUUAAAAUUUAUCAAUGUUUUCUUCCACAUAGCACAUUUCACCAUUUUUUUGGUCGAGAUGGUUAUCCAGUUUUAAUAAAUGUGUCAGUUGAUCCUAAUUUUAUUUCUUAAAUCCUACACAUCUAUUUGAAAAAUAAACCUCUCAUAUCAUCUAUGUUUAACUAAAAACAUAUAUACAAGUUUAGUGUAUGCACGUGUAUAUAUAAGUAUCAUACCCAAUUAACAAUAGUAUUGCCUUGUUCAUCUGAAAGUUCUCUUCCGGUAAUCAGCUCUAGGAGUACAACGCCAAAAGAAUAGACAUCUGAUUUUUCUGACACUCUUUGUUUAUCGCCAUAUUCUGGAUCUGCAUAACUAUAAUAAAAAAAUUCACUAAGAUUUUGUAUUAUCUAAUGUAUCAUUUCAUCUUUGAUUUUGAUAUAAAAAAACCAGUGGACAUCUAAACCUUUUUUAGUUAACAUUUAAUAAAUAAUCUAUAUAAAAAAUAUUACUCUUUAACUCCUCUAUUUUGAGGUUCGUUAUACUUCUGUAAAAUAUAAUAGUUUAAUAGUUACACUUUCAUAAAUUAUGCAUGUUAAUUACUAGUUAAAUAAAAGUUAAGACACUACGGGACUUUGUGUGGCAAAAAAAAAAGUAUACCAUUAUUUAUUUUUUCUUAGAAAGUAAAAAAUCUUUGCAAGAAAAGCACUCAAAUACUGUUAGUUACUAUUUUAAUUCAUAUUUUUGAAGAGAAAUUUACUAUUUAUCUUUUAUAGUAUAAGAAAACUCAUUAAUUGAUCAUUCAGUUUUGAAAUAUAUACUAAAACGUUUUUGACAUUUUAAAAAGUCUAUUAGUUAACCCCUUCGUUAAUUUUAGUCAUUAAAUAUUGUAAAAAAGUAUGAAAUGCCGUUGAUACGGAAGAAUUAAUUAGUAGAUUUUUUAUAAACAUGAAGGAACAAUUAAUAAAUUUUUUUUAAACUAUAAGGAUUAAAUAGUGAAAUAUUUAACGGUUAAAAUUAACAAAGAAACUAAAUAGAAAAAUUUUUAAAAUAUCAAAGAAAUUAUAAUAUAUUUUUUAAAAUUAAAAGUUCAAUUAAUAAGUUUUUCCAUAUAAUAAAGAUUAAGUAAUAAUUUUUUCUAUUCUUAACUCCUCAAAAAUAAACUCUAUAUGAAUUUAGAAAUUAAAGUCAAAGAGGCCUAAUUUUAUUUUUUUUAACAAGAAUUCUAAUUUCUCUUAUUUUCAAAAGAAUUUUAUCCAUUUAGCUAUUAAAGACGAAGUUUUCAAGUUGAAAUUCUAAAUAAGUAGGAAAAUUCACAUAAAUAAAAUUUUACAAAUUGAAUCAAUUUCUCACUUUGUAAUUUUUUUUUAAUUUUGAUAACCUCCUAGCUUUCCUAGCCCAGGAAUAAGGACGGAUUCAAGAGAAGGCCACAAGUCCAAAACCCGUCAGAUCAUACGCUCGAAAGACGGCCCAACUUCACAAGCCCGGGACCAGCAACCCAGAGCAAUUCGAAUCAGAUACGGACCCAGGCCCAAUAGGGAAGCAGGCCCAGUCACUCACCAACCCUGUUCGCAUGCGUGACAGGGAGAAUUAAAUGGCCGCUUGGCGUGGAGAAGGGGUCUGACACGUCCGUACGUACGGACCUGAGUGACAUGGACAAGUAGCACUAUAGAAUGGGGAGGUCUUCUCUUUCAGGGUUCUCUUCUUCCUCUCUCUCCUUCCUAGACUCCAUUUUUUACCUUCUCUCUACAACUCUUGCUUAAAUAUACUACUCUAAUCCAUAAAAUCUGACUUGAACGUCGAAGGGUCUCCACCGAGGGCAUUCCCGAUAGACCCCUGACCAUUUUUCCCUAUUUUGCAGGUCUCAUCGUCAAAUAUAGAACAUUGAGAGACCCAUUUGACGGACCCAUAUGAUGGACCAAGAAGAAAACCAGACCCAUCAGGGAGCCCAGAGAAAAAAAGAUUUAUCAAUUGGCGCCGUCUGUGGGAAACGAAAGGGAUUUUACUCUCUUUAAAGUUUCCAGAUCCACCCAUUGAGAUUCACAUAAGGUAUGAAAGCUUGUGCAAAUAACCCAGCUGAAGAGAAAGAUUCAUCGUGUUAAAAAAUAUUUUGAUAAUAUUUCAGAUAGUUUGUUUUAAUAUUUAUUAGGUUUUAUUACGGCUGAUUUUUUUCUUUGAAAUCUGGUGAAGCAAAAUUUCAGAUCGAAGUACUUGUUUAUAAGUAUAAAUUCUAAUCUUUUUUGUAAAAGGAAAAAAGAGUGAGUAAUACAUAUAUUUGUUGAAAUUGUGAGGUGGCCGUGUGUAUAUUGUCAAGAUAAUAGGGGCAGAUCGGCUGUAAAAUUCCAGGUUAGCAUGUUAGAGAGAAAAUUAAUAAGUGAAAAAUAGACGAGGUCAGACUAACAUUUCAGGUCGGAUAGGGCAUGAGGUCGGAUGGAGCACGAUCCAUGGCCAUCUAACUGGAUUGCACAGCAACGUCCCUCAAGUAUCGGGGCAACAUGGAGACAAUAAGAAAUGAUCAAAUGUCUAGACUGAUCGAGGUGGAUGAACUCAAACUCUGUAUGCCGUCCAACUUGAAGAUGAGGUCGGUUGGGUUACGAGGUUGGCACUCCUUCAACCUCUGAUUGAACAGACCUGCUUUAGCACCAGGACGCUUGAUCGAAGCAUCGAGGAAUCUAUAUGGUCAAACCCGUAGGUCGGACACCCAAGAGCUGGACAGCUCCGGAGCUUGAAGAAAUCUCCUCCUUCCUUCACCAACUCCUUCACAAUUCCUCCUCUUCCUCUCCCUCUGCUAAAUUCAUGCACCAUGCUCUCUCUCUUCUCCUUCUCCCCCGCUGCCGCUGCCGACACAGACUAAACCUCCGACUGAAUUGUUAUUUGGCCGCUCCCAAGAUGGGAGUCACAAUGGCAAUUCAUCUCUUGCUUACAAUCAAACCCUAGAUCAAAACAGACAAUCAUCACUUUCCCAAGCAAGAUCUCCCAACCUAGAUCGACUUUCAACCAUUUCAAAAGGAUCCAACUCCAAGACAUCCAAUGUCAGGUAUUGAGAAUGUCUAAGGAACCACGCGGCCAGCAUCGGCGGCAAUGCUUUUGACGGCUGUGGUGAGUUCAUGCCUGGGGGAGAAGAAGGCACAAUCGAAGCUUUAAAAUGUGCGGCUUGUGACUGCCACCGUAACUUCCACCGGAAAGAGGUGAAUGGGGAGACUCAAUUUAGUCCGAGUUCGCAAAGAAGUUCGUUCGUCCUUCAAAUGCCACCACCACCACCAUAUGUUUUAUACAAGAAAAGGUUUAGGACCAAACUCACUCAAGGACAGAAGGAUAAAAUGAUGGAGUUUGCAGAGAGGAUCGGGUGGAGGAUCAGUAAGCCGGAAGAGGAGGAGGAGCAAAAUUAAUGAGAAAAUGAACCUGCACUCAUCUGAAGUGCUGCUCGCCACAUUUUGGAUAAGCAUGCCGAUUGAUGAUUGAAAUAAGGAGGAAGCAACAUGAGUUGAAAACUCUCAGGUCAUUUCUCAAAAAUAUUUUUUUUACUUAGUCAGGGAUGUGGUCACUUUCCCUGGCUUUGUAGACUGCAUUUACCUUGAUGCCCUGACAAGCUGCAACUUGACAAUGGCUUGAGUGAUGUAAUAACCAUCAAGAAAAGAAAUUGGUCAGAUGCUGUGGAACCCACACGUACAGAUGGAAGCAUGUUACGAGAUUUUGUUUGUGUUGAAAAUGCCAAGUUGCACAGCAAUGUUGUACCGCAUGCAGUAAAUUUCUUUCAUUUGAGGACGGGACCCAUCCCCAGCCAAAAAUCCAUGAACAGUCCUCUGGAAGUUUGGAUACUCCGUAUUCAUUCAUAUGCCUUCUUGCUUCAGCUGCUUCAUUCCAUUCCCCAGCAGCAGCAUGAACGUUUGCUAAGUGAAUGUGCCGGCCACCAUGAUCGGGGUCCAAUUCAAUUAGGAAUUUCCCUAUCUGCUUACCUAAUUCUGUAUUUCCAUGAAUCUGACAGGCAUUUAGUAGUGCUCCCCAUAUGACAGCAUUUGGUUUUACUGGCAUUCGCUCAAUCAAAUCUGUUGCUCUCUUCAGCAAACCUGCUCGACUGAGUAGAUCAACCAUGCAUCCAUAGUGCUCUACUGUUGGGUCCAAGCUAUGAACUUUCUCCAUGCUGUCAAAUAGUGAUUUUCCUUCAUCAACCAAUCCUGCAUAACUGCAUGCUGUCUGAUGAUUGAAAUAAGGUACAUAUAUCUUGCCACGUGUCAUUAGCAUAAUUGCUAUUGGAGAAAUUUACAAGCCCUUAAUUACUUAUCUUAAAUACUCAUGAUAUAUAUGUAUGCUCCAGUUAUCCAAAUCGUACUUUGCUGUGUAUAUUUAUUAUUUUGCUUCAGAAUUUCAAGAAUGUCUUUAGUUAUUGGCAAUUAUUUUUAAUUAAACAUUAUUGAACACAAAUGAUUUCAUAGAUUAUUAAAAGGCAUGCUUCGCAUGUAAAUAGUAAGACUAAAUUUAACUAAAAUAUACCUCUAUGAGUUUAGAUAUCCUGAUAAUUGCUUACAUUUUAUAGAUCGAAAAAUUCUGGAGAAAUUUACACGUGCAAAUAUUAUUUAUUGAACCUUUGAAUUGCAUGAGUUAAUAUUGUUAGUUAGAGCUAAUAUUUACGUUCAUCUGAAAUAUGAAACUAAGUGACAUGUGCGACACAUUAUUGAUGAAUAUUAUUGAAUUAACAACGAGCAUCCUCGUUAUAUAUGCUCUGUGCAAUAUUUUAUUUUGCAGAAAAAUCCUGAAUCUCGCUCAAAGACCUCAGGCAAGCACAAGACCGGGAUCCCCAAGAUCUCCUGGCAUCAGAAGACCUCCUUGAGACAUAGAGACCUCUUGGAGGUAGAAAGACCGGGAUUCCCAAGAUCUCCCGGAUUCAAGACAAGGAUCCCCAAGAUCUCCUGGCAUCAGAAGACCUCCUUGAGACAUAGAGACCUCCUUGAGACAUAGAGACCUCCUGGAGGUAGAAGACCUCCUUAAGACAUAGAGACCUCCUAGAGGUAGAAGACCGGGAUCCCCAAGAUCUCCCGGAUUCAAGACCAGGAUCCCCAAGAUCUCCUGGCAUCAGAAGACCUCCUUGAGAUAUAGAGACCUCCUGGAGGUAGAAGACCAGGAUCCCCAAGAUCUCCUGGCAUCAGAAGACCUCCUUGAGACAUAGAGACCUCCAGGAGGCAGAAGACCUCCUUGAGACAUAGAGACCUCCUGGAGGUAGAAGACCUCCUUGAGACAUAGAGACCUCCUGGAGGUCGAAGACCAGGAUCCUCAAGAUCUCCUGGCAUCAAAAGACCUCCUUGAGACAUAGAGACCUCCUGGAGGUAGAAGACUAGGAUCCCCAAGAUCUCCUAGCAUCAGAAGACCUCAUUGAGACAUAGAGACCUCCUGGAGGUAGAAGACUAGGAUCCCCAAGACCUCCUGGCAUCAGAAGACCUCCCUGAGACAUAGAGACCUCCUAGAGGUAGAAGACCGGGAUCCCCAAGAUCUCCCAGAUUCAAGACCAGGAUCCCCAAGAUCUCCUGGCAUCAGAAGACCUCCUUAAGACAUAGAGACCUCAUGGAGGUAGAAGACCGGGAUCCCCAAGAUCUCCCGGAGCUACAAGUCCAGGAUUCCCAAGAUCUUCUGGCAUCAAACGGCCGAGAUCCCCAAGAUCUCUUGGUGACAUAAGCAAAAAUAACUCAUAAGAACAUAGUUCCGACCCCACAUAAAAGAUGGGGGCGAGGGACCAUAAAUGAAAAGCUAAACUCCGACCUCCCAAAGGAGCUCGAGUCAUAAAGUAAAGAGACUUUGAUUUCACAGCGGCGCCAAAGCGCCAAAGCACCAUGCCGAUCUCAAGAAAAUGAGCUCAGUACUGGUAAAUUCAAUAGACAAACCGAAUUAAGGCAAGGCGAGUCCUAAGCAAAAUGCAUACCAAAAUACAGAACCAAAUAAAGAAUCAGGGACAAUCAUAAAAGGCACCGACCUCGAGAAUUGACCGCUAGCACUGAACUAACUCAGCUGGCCUAGAAAGAGAUCCAGGCAGCAAAGAGCUCGCAAAACGCUCGAGGGCAGACAACCCAUAAAACACUCGGGGGCAAAAAACCCAACCAACCGAUACAUACACGAGAGCCCAAUGCUCAGAUAAAGAAUCAAGGAGGCAGGACGGUCCAAUCCAAAACAGAUAGUCCGACCUCUUCAAUCUAGGGUCGAUCUCCCCAGAAGCUUGGAGGGACCUCAUACCUGGAUCGGCAAGGCUAUAAGCCUAUAAAAGAAAAAGUUAAAACCGAACAAAAAAGCAGUCAGACUGAAACACAGCCCGAACAAGGCUCGACAAGAAAACAAGAAAUUAAGUCUGACUUCACAGAAGAGCUCGGGGCACCAAAGUGAGGAAGGCGAAAUUCCGAACUCCUGAGCCCGUAGCACAGGCAGCAUCACAAGUCAUAGGCGUAAAAGCCUAAGCAAAGAACAAAAAUCCGAGCUCCUUAAUCCGCGGUCUGGACGGACUCACGACAAGUAAACAACCAAGCUGAAUAAAGCUGAGCAUAGAGGACAUACCAGAAAGCCGAGCUCCCUACAUGAAAAGGCCUGCAAAUGCAGAAAAACACAAAGGACUAAAUGAAAGCGAGAGACCCUGCUCACCGCUCGGAUUAACUCACAGUAAACAAACACUUAGCAAAGAUGACUCUGGGAGAGGAAAACGACAAAAGACCGAGCUCCCUAUCCUAGUGGAGCACACAACUCAGACUACCCUAAUCGCCAAAAGGUUACAUCCAGAGAGAUAAGAUGUCUGAGCUCGUAGCGAGAACAAGAUUUAUAAAAUUGUCUAAAACGGGGCAGGCAUGCAAAUAAGACAUUUCUCUAGGUAUUAUAUAUCCGAGCUCAUAGCAUUGACGAGGUCAUGAACCAAAAACAGAAAUGCCCUCAUAAGAAUAAGAAAAACUUGCAAGUAAGAACCUUAAUCAGACUCCGAGCUCUUAGCCCGGAUCAGUCCGACUAUCAAAGUCUCAGUAGAGCUAGCCUGGACCAUCAAUUAAGUAAAAUUGACAAAGCCAGAAGACAGUCUAAGAGAAAAAUAAUGAUGAGGUACAUGCCGAGGUGAAAUAUCAUUCAUCAUCGAACAAACAUCUCCAUAUCGCCAUACAUUCGAACAUCAAAGUAAAGAGACAAAAAUAAUAAAAAGGCAAGGAAAGGAUACUUUCGACAAGAGCAGUUCUCAGACCACACGGUCAUGAAUAGAGUUUAAGGAUUUACCCCCUCACCAGUCAUGGAAUAACUGCCAAGGAGGUAAAGGGGCAAUUGAUAACCUCCUGGCUUUCCUAGCCCAGGAAUAAGGACGGAUCCAAGAGAAGGCCACAAGUCCAAAGCCCGUCAGAUCAUACGCUCGAAAGACGGCCCAACUUUACAAGCUCGGGACCAACAACCCAGGGCAAUUCGAAUCAGAUACGGACCCAGGCCCAGUCACUCACCAACCCUGUUCGCAUGCGUGACAAGGAGAAUUAAAUGGCCACUUGGCAUGGAGAAGGGGUCUGACACGUCCGUUCGUACGGACCUGAGUGACAUGGACAGGUAGCACUAUAAAAUGGAGAGGUCUUCUCUUUCAGGGUUCUCUUCUUCCUCUCUCUCAUUCCUAGACUCCAUUUUUUACAUUCUCUCUACAACUCUUGCUUAAAUAUACUACUCUAAUCCAUAAAUUCUGACUUGAACAUUGGAGGGUCUCCAUCGGGGGCAUUCCCGGUAGACCCCUGACCAUUUUUUCAUAUUUUGCAGGUCUCUUCGUCAAAUAGAACAUUGAGAGACCCAUUUGACGGACCCAUAUGAUGGACCAAGAAGAAAACCAGACCCAUCAGGGAGCCCAGAGGAAAAAAGAUUUAUCAAAUUUGAAUAAUUUUACCUAUUACCCAUAUAAAAACUAUUUAAUUUUAUCUAUUUUUAAGAUUUUCUUUAAAAAAUUCAUAAUCUAUUAAACUCAUUUUUUUAGAUUUUUGUUUUAAAAUCUAAAUAGUUAGAACCACAUUGAAUAAUCUAACAAUUACUCAUAUAAUUCUUUUUAAUAAAUUAAUUUUUAUAAAUUUUAAAUAGUCUAAUACAUAAUUUUUAUCUUAUAAAUAGAGGUAAACAAAAUAAUCAUGACUUCUUAACCAUAAAAAGUAAUUGUAUUAAAAAAUAUAUUAAACAAUGAAUUAAUAAAUAAUUACCCUCUAAAUAUUUUUUUAAAAAAAUGUGGUUGAAGUUUAAGUCUUGAAAAUUAGAAACAAUUUUUUUGGAUUAAAAGUAAUAAAAAAUUAGGAUAGUUACUGUAAAAAUAAUAUUUGGAAUUGUAAUUUUAUUUAUGAGAAAAUUAUUAUUUAGGUUUGAAGUUUUAAAAAAAUUAUUAGUUUGUCUCUAUAUCAAAAUUAUUUAAGUAAAUCAUCUCUAUAUUUUAUAAAAUUAAAUUGUUUAGUAAGUAAUUGAAAAUACAUGUUAAGAAAAUUUAUUUUAAUCUUGAUUAAAGACUAAAUUGUAUGAAUAUUUAAAUUUAUAAAUAUUAAAUAAUAUAUAUAAUUAAAAUUAUAUAAAUAAAUUAAUGGAUUUUUUAUAAAAAUAAAAUAAAAAAUUUAAUUCUACAAAAUAUAAAAAAAUUUUAAUUAUAUAAUUUUCAAAUAAAAAUAAAUUAAUGAAUUUUGAAAUUUAAUAAUAAUUUAUUCUUAUUUAUUUAGAAUUUGAAAAAAUUUAGAGACUUUUGCUCUAUAUCUAUUAGCGGUAUUAGAUUCAAAUUGAAAAAACCGACCGAAUCGAAUUAAUUUGAAAAUUCAAUUUAAUUUUUUAUUCCUUUCAGUUCGGUUCGGUUUGAUUUUUAAUUUCAAAAUUUUCGAAUAUUUCGGUUCGGUUCGAUUUUAAUCAGAAAAAAUUAAAAAAUCAAACCGAAUCAAUUAGUGAUAAUAGUAUAUUAUUUUUAAUAAUUUAGAGAGAUUAAAUUAUAUUAAAAUUAAAAUAUUUUAAUUAAAUUUAAAAAUACUAAAAAUAAAGAUAAAAAAUAAUAAAAUUAUUAAAAAUUCAAAUCAAAUCGAAUCGAAUCGAAUCAAACUAAUUUAGUUCAAUUCAAUUUCUAAUCAAAAUCAAUUCGAUUUAAUUUUUAUAAAUACUAAAAUUUUAAUUUUUAGUUUAUUUAAUUCGGUUCGAUUUUCAAUCCGCCGUUGCCAACUACCAACUACCAAGUGGUUAUACUUCAAUAAAUAAUGACUAAGAAAAGAAAAUUUUCUUACAUGUUGGUUCCCCUCAGUAUGCUGCUGAUAUGGUUAAUAUUACCCGUAUCAGGCAAAAAAUUCGCCAGUGAAAAAUCUGCAAUCUAAAACAAUGAUUUAUACAAUUAAGUAGAUUUUUUGGCAUAUAAUUUAACAUUAAAAAAUCCAACAUAAUAAAAUUAACUUACGUAAAGAUAUCAAAUUAUUAAAGUCGCACAAUUGUUUUUCAAUAUCUCCUCGCAUUUACCUUAUUGUAUAAAUGCUGAAGUUAUAUUUAUUACGAGAGUACCAUACCUUUGGUUCAAAAUUAUCAUUAAGAAGAAUAUUAUCUGCUUUAAUAUCUCGAUGUAUAAUUUUAGGUUUACCUGAAAAAAUAAUUCAAAUUGAAACAUUAAAUAAAUUGUCAACACAUAAAAAAAAAAAUUAUUUUAAUUAGUCUCAAUAGCUAAUUAUAGUUUCAAAGUAGUGAAAUUACUCACAUUCUUCAUGCAGAUAAAGCAAUCCUCUGGCAGAGUUUAUUGCGAUUUUUAUUCUUUUCGGCCAUUCCAAAAACUUGUCUUCAUCUGUUAAAAAUAUAUAAAUAUAUGUAAAAACUCAUUUUAUGUUUAUAUAUAGCUAUGUGUGUGUGAAUAUGUUAACUAAGAGUGUACAAGGUUGGUUUACUUCAAAAUUGAACCAAGUCAAAAAAUAAUAAAUCAUUUUAUUCAAUCCCAUUCAAUUCUUGAUUUUGUUUCUAUUUUAUCCAAGAAGCAUUAAUUAUCUGGAAUUUCUUUUGGGAAGUGAAAAAUAUAUAUAUAUAAACUCAUGACAAUUGCAUCAAUAAAAUUAAGAAUCAAAGUUCAAUUUCAUCCAGAAUUUACAAUCGAAAGUUAAUAAUAAUAAUAAUCAUCAUCCGUACUACUAAGGCAUACAAUCGAAAAGAUUUAACUGAUGGAUGAGAAGAGAUUAGCAGUAUUUGGCCUCUGAUUUCAGGGGCAGCAAGUUUGGAAUAAAAAUUUUCAUAAUAAUUCAAUUUUUUUCAAUCAAUUCUUUUAAUUAGAAUGGAAGAAUUCAUUCUUUUUGGACUCGGGUAAUUUUAAUUUUCAAAAGAAAUGAAAUUAUGUAUAUUUUAGUAACAAUUCUUUUGAAUUAUUUUCUGAAAAAAUGAAUCGGGUAAAAAUUGAAUCCGUCGGUUCAAUUUCUUCAUUACAAUUGAAAUAAACUCAGCCCAAUAUCAGUGCAUGAAAAGGCACUCACCAUGUAGAUGAUGUCUCAAAGACUUGUUGGGAACAAACUCUAAAACAAGCAAUCUAUCAUCUCCUUCACUGCAGUAUCCAAUCAUCUUAACGAUAUUUGGAUGGCGCACAACGCUAAGGUACUCGAUCUCCUCCAAUUUAUUCUCCAGCUUUAUUAUUUUAAGUUUCUUUAUAGCAACAUCAUCAUCAUCUAAGAAUGCCUUAUAGACUAUCCCAAAACCACCCUCGCCAAUGCUGCAUUUAUUGGAGAAAUAAUUUGUUGCGAUUGCUAGUUUUUUGUAUUCGUAUCUCUUAAAUCCAUAUGAUUGAGCAAUCUCCGAGGCUGCUGGUGCAUAUCUUGGAGCAUUCUCAGAAGUUGCUGGUGCAUCACGACUUCCAUUCUUAUCAGAAUAUGGUCUAUAUUCAGCCGGAUCUGUAACCAAUGACUGCUGAGGCAACGGUGCUGUAUUAUCUAACCAAGUUGUAACAUGCCAGAAUUAGUUAGAGGAGAAAGCAAAAAUCACAGUGAAGAUACUAUCCCCAAGUACAGCUUCUAGUAAGAAAUGAAAUGAAUCCUUCAUGGAACCCAACAAAAAAGAGCAUCAGUUUAGUUAUGGAAGAAAUAACAUAAUUCAAGAGCCUCUACGGCUCUCAUAUUACUUUGGAUUCAUUGUACAGUGUCAGCUAAAACAGUAUACCUUUAAUGUCAUUGAGGCGAUCUGCCUGCGCAUUGCUCUUGCUCAAGAAACAGCCCAUCAAAACCUGCGGAGUAGCUGCAGUUUUUCUUUUCUGACCACUUCAACAAAUGUCUCCAGCAAUUGGGUGAAGGGGGGACAUCUCUGUAAACGAGGUCGACGGACAUAGACCAAGGCCAAGUGCUCAUUGGUCAUAAUCAAUUGAAUACAACAAAACAGUAGAUCUAAACAUCAAAAUUAAAAGUUAUAAAAUAGUAAUAACAGAUCCGAGAAACCUGAGAAACCCCAAAUCAAGUCUCUAUUGCUCAUGGAAGGUUGAGGGACGAUGGACAGACCGAGCGGCGAGGAGCUGCUGUUGCGACGACGAAGUAGCAGACUAUCGAUGGCUAUGACCGGCAGACAAGCGACAGCGAUGGGAGCAAGCAUAAACGACGAUGAUGGCGAUAGGGGAAGAGAAGAAGCGACGGCGAUGGUUACGGGAUGAGCAUGAGCGACAGCGAUGGGAUGCGACAAAGUUGAGAACGAGAAGAUGAGAGGGUGGACUACGGAAGAGAAAAGAGAGCUUAGUCUUUAGGGUGGGCUCUGGGCAGGGGAAUAGUUUAGUAUAUAUAUAAACAUCAAAACAGUCAUAUACGACUGUCUCAUACAUUUAGAAGAUGGGAUGCUCCUUCUUCCUCUAGGUGUCUCUGGUCGUCUCAUAUACGACUCUUUAACUUUAGUCUACUGGUUCCUUUUACUCUCCCUUCCGCCUCUACCUGUGUUUGGAGGCCAUGUUUGAGUUGUAGGUGGUACUACAUUCCCUAAUUUGGGAAAAUCUCUUUGAAGAGGUUUUGUGGUUCCACACCUAAAAUAGGCCUUAGUGAGCUUCCUACAGUUUUCUAUAUAUAGGUAAGCAAGUUCAAAUGAAAAAAUACAAAUAAUUUAAAAUUUUAGUUUAUUUUUUAAAAAUCAUUAGAUUUUAUUUUAAUUAUUAAUUCUAAUUUAUAGGAUUCAGUUCAAUUUUUAAAAAUAAAAUUUUUGAUAAACUCAACUGAACCAAUAUAAAUUGCUUUUAAAAGUAAAAUAAGACUUCAUCCUUAGUUAUAGCUUGGAGGCAGUACUCAUCUUAAAGGACCUGAAUCUUUUGGCUUUGAGUCCUCUCUCUUUUCUUCCUUUAUUUACUUUUUCUUUCCUUUACUUUUUUUUUUCUCUAAACAUUUAACUUAAUCUUAGCCCUUCAUCUUCUUGAAAUAAUCUCAGCCAUUCAAUCUCGAAUAUAUAAACAUUCUUUUCCAAGACCCUAUCUUUUAGAUCUCCUUCUCACAUGGCCGCUCACCUUCUUCUCUCUCUUAUCAUCUUCUUUUAUUUUGUAUCUUCUUUAUUUUUAUUUUCUACCUCGUCUUGAUUUCUUGCCCCUCUUAAUCUUCCAGUCUCCUUUUGUCCAUGUUACUCUCUCGUUCACUGAAGCCCAACACAGCAAUUAAUGGCACCACCACCAUAGCAGUGCUCAUAAUACUAGAGUCACAAUAAAGUCGCAGCCCUACAUCAUCGCAGCAUCAACCCCGCAUGCCACAACUCCAUUUCUGUUUUUUUCUUCAAUUCAUUUUUUGAACAUGUAAUGUUGAUCUUUUAUUUGGAUGAUUUUUUGUUUUCUUCUAUUUUUAUAAUUUAUUUUCUUUAACAUUUAUAUUGAUUUUGAUAGUUGAUUUGGAUAAUUGCGAUUUUUCAUUUAAAUCUAUUAACUAAAUUUAUUUUUAAUUUUGUUGAUAUAGGAGGCAUAGAGAUUGUGAUUUGUAUAUAUCUAUAAUUUGAAAGUAAAAGAAUUGACUAUGUAAACUAGACUAAAUCCAAUUAUUCUGAUUUAAUUUAGUUCAGUUAUAUAUAUAAUUCAAUUUGAUUUUAAUUUUUAAUUAAAUUUUAUUUUUUAAUUUUUUUAAACUCAUUUUAAUUUUAAACUAAACCGUCUACCACAAUAUUUAUAUUUCUAUAGGACUAAACCUUUUAGUGGAAAGGGCUAGAGCACCAGCGAUAGAACCUAAGGCCUAUUUUGAGAUCCACUUUUCAAGAAGGAACUUCAAAGAGAUGGCUGCUCUAAAAAGUUUGACCCUUCUUGCUAUAGACGAUCCUACCGCCACUUGUUUGCUUUCUACUCCUUUCUUGAUUACUCUUUGCUUGACCUUUUUAAAUUCUAGGCUACUAAUACUAGCUGAACAAAGUCUAAUAUCUAUAAAGCUGUGAUGUGUAAUUUGAUGAAAUCAUUUAAUAUGUCCUCAAAUCUUCUCACUACAAAAUAACUGUAAAAUUGCCACCAAAAUUAGCGACUAGAUUACUAUAUAACAACCAAUCAGCGAUCAUUCUGCUACUAUAUAAAUAAAAUAAUAUUUUUAUUUAAUAAAAAGCUCAAUGACCAAAAAUUAAUCGUUAUUUGAUCACUAUUUAGCUACCAAAUAUUAAAUCGUCGCUAAAUUUAGCGAGAAUUAAUAACGCGAGAUAUUUGCGACUAUAUUUGUGACAAAAUUGCGACUAUUUUUUGAGUGGAAAUAUAAUAUUAUAAUUUGCGACCAUAUCUAGCGACUAAUUAGUUUAGUCGCUAAACAGCGACCAAUCAGCGACUAUUUUAUUUUUAAAAUUUUAAUUUAAUUUUUAAUUAAAUUUUAUUUUAUUUAAAAUUUUAAUUUAAGAUUAAAUAUACUGUUAAAAUAUUUUUUUAUAAUUUUACGUAUAUUCUUAUUUUUAGUAUAAUUUAUUUUAAAAAAUAAUUUAAAAUAUUGUUAUUGUAAAUUAAUACAGUAUAAUAUUUUAAUACAAUAAAACUAUAUUAUUUAUCUUUAAAAAAAUUAUACCAUUAAAGACAAAAUUAAUAAACAUAUAAUAUAAAACAUUUUAAAUAAUAUAAACUAUGAUUAAAGAGGAACAAAACACGACUAAAUCUUUAAUUAUUUUAACUAAAAAAAUUAAUUAAUUAAUUUUAACGUAAAAAAUUAAUUAAUUUAUUUUAACGUAAAAAAUUAGUUAAUUUAUUUUAACUUAAAAUAUUAAGUAAUUAAUUUUUAAUUGAAAAAUUAACUUAAAAAAUUAAUAACUUAAAAAAUUACUUAAUUUUUAAUUGAAAACUAAUACAUUUCUAAAAUAAAAAGUCCUAAUAGUUUUUUUAAAUAUAUUUUUUAGUUAAGUUGUAAACUAUUUUUUUAUUAUUAUAUAUCUUUAUCAGUGUAUAUNNNNNNNNNNNNNNNNNNNNNNNNNNNNNNNNNNNNNNNNNNNNNNNNNNNNNNNNNNNNNNNNNNNNNNNNNNNNNNNNNNNNNNNNNNNNNNNNNNNNNNNNNNNNNNNNNNNNNNNNNNNNNNNNNNNNNNNNNNNNNNNNNNNNNNNNNNNNNNNNNNNNNNNNNNNNNNNNNNNNNNNNNNNNNNNNNNNNNNNNNNNNNNNNNNNNNNNNNNNNNNNNNNNNNNNNNNNNNNNNNNNNNNNNNNNNNNNNNNNNNNNNNNNNNNNNNNNNNNNNNNNNNNNNNNNNNNNNNNNNNNNNNNNNNNNNNNNNNNNNNNNNNNNNNNNNNNNNNNNNNNNNNNNNNNNNNNNNNNNNNNNNNNNNNNNNNNNNNNNNNNNNNNNNNNNNNNNNNNNNNNNNNNNNNNNNNNNNNNNNNNNNNNNNNNNNNNNNNNNNNNNNNNNNNNNNNNNNNNNNNNNNNNNNNNNNNNNNNNNNNNNNNNNNNNNNNNNNNNNNNNNNNNNNNNNNNNNNNNNNNNNNNNNNNNNNNNNNNNNNNNNNNNNNNNNNNNNNNNNNNNNNNNNNNNNNNNNNNNNNNNNNNNNNNNNNNNNNNNNNNNNNNNNNNNNNNNNNNNNNNNNNNNNNNNNNNNNNNNNNNNNNNNNNNNNNNNNNNNNNNNNNNNNNNNNNNNNNNNNNNNNNNNNNNNNNNNNNNNNNNNNNNNNNNNNNNNNNNNNNNNNNNNNNNNNNNNNNNNNNNNNNNNNNNNNNNNNNNNNNNNNNNNNNNNNNNNNNNNNNNNNNNNNNNNNNNNNNNNNNNNNNNNNNNNNNNNNNNNNNNNNNNNNNNNNNNNNNNNNNNNNNNNNNNNNNNNNNNNNNNNNNNNNNNNNNNNNNNNNNNNNNNNNNNNNNNNNNNNNNNNNNNNNNNNNNNNNNNNNNNNNNNNNNNNNNNNNNNNNNNNNNNNNNNNNNNNNNNNNNNNNNNNNNNNNNNNNNNNNNNNNNNNNNNNNNNNNNNNNNNNNNNNNNNNNNNNNNNNNNNNNNNNNNNNNNNNNNNNNNNNNNNNNNNNNNNNNNNNNNNNNNNNNNNNNNNNNNNNNNNNNNNNNNNNNNNNNNNNNNNNNNNNNNNNNNNNNNNNNNNNNNNNNNNNNNNNNNNNNNNNNNNNNNNNNNNNNNNNNNNNNNNNNNNNNNNNNNNNNNNNNNNNNNNNNNNNNNNNNNNNNNNNNNNNNNNNNNNNNNNNNNNNNNNNNNNNNNNNNNNNNNNNNNNNNNNNNNNNNNNNNNNNNNNNNNNNNNNNNNNNNNNNNNNNNNNNNNNNNNNNNNNNNNNAAGUAUGAUAUGAUGCAUGGCUUGUGAUCUUAUCUUUGCAAAAGGUGACAAUUAGGGUGUGGGUCCAGAUGGACCCACUUAAGAGCAUGCCUUGUUUCAUAGGUUUCCUGUUGUGAUUUCUUUUAGAUUUUUAUAAUCUGUAUGUUUGAUUGCUAUAGUGUUACUUUGGAUAAAUCUUGGCCAACAGUAAUGAUCACUUAUCAAACUAUGGUGAAAGAGAAGGGGGUUGUUUUUGCUAGAGAUUCCUUGUGGUUGCUUGUGGAAGUUUGCUUGGAAAGAAAGUGACUGGGUUAGGUUAUUGAAGAGAGAAGUGGAAAAAAAUGAAAGUGAAAGCCCCACAUAACUGUCCAUAGACCGAUAUCUUUCUCGCACUUUUACAUUAAUCAAAGUUCUUUUUUUUUUAAAUUCUCUUUAUUUUUUAUAGUUAUAAUAAAUUUAAAAAAAACCGUCCUAACUAAUUUUUUAAAAAAUAAGGAUGAUAUAAGUUAAUAUAGUUAGUUGUGUGGAUGUUAUUUUAUUUGCUAUUUGUACAAAAGCAUUGAGUUUAGUUGAUUAACAGUCACAAAGAAGCUUUCCCGAAAGCAAUUUUAACAUAAAAGGAAAUGUUUCAUAUGCAUUUUGGGUGAAUUGACUGCACCAUUCCAUGUGUUUGUCUUGUAAAAGAGGCAACAUUUUGCUUGCACCUGUCCCUAUACAGUCCACUCAUAUGCAAAUACAGCAUACAUAUACGUUGCUUACAAGUAAGUGCUAUCACAAAGACACUUGGAACAUCACUAAAGCUACCUUGACAAAUCUGAGGUAUGAUUUCUGUUAAUGUUAGUGUUUUAUGUGAUUUUAAUAUUGAUAUUUUACUUGGAACAUCAUUAAGUGCUAUCACAAAGACAUUUACAAGUAAGUACAGCCACAUUUUGAUUUAUAAUUUUCCUGCAUCACUUCUGAUAAAAAAAUUAGCCACGUACUGAUAUCAUGAAUGUUGCAUCAUCACUUUGAUUGCUAGGAACUGCUCAGGUUCUCUCGGUGCAGUUUGAUUUAGAUAACAUUAUAGAUAUCUCUUUUAUUAAUAUUUGCUUGCUCGCUGGGUUUCACUUUCACUGUAUAUCUGUUUAAUUGAGAAAAUUUCCAUGUCCUUUCAAAUAUUCUCUGAUUUGAAAGCUCAAAUUUUAGCUGCACAGGUAAAUGUUCUUUUGCCUGCACUUCUUGUUGUAAAUUUAACACCUUUAAACUGAACAGUGGAGUCCGAUAAUGCUUGUAUGUUGUGUCUCAUUAUGUGAUACUGCAACAACAAAAACAACUACUAGGGAGAUGUGUAGGUAACAAUUCUGAAAGGUUUAUUACUUUUCUUUUAAUUUUGAAUUUGCUCAAGUUCUAUGCUAGACAGUUGAAGUAUUGUUGGGUUGGAUGUAAAACAACAUUGAAGCAUUGGGGCCAAAAGAACUAUUAGGGGUUAUGUAUUUAGUAGUGAAAUAGAUGGAUUUACUUCCCAUGAAUGGGUGAACUUGGAAUACUAACAGUUGGGGUUUUUCUACGUGUCUUUGGCUGUUUGCCAAUUUUAUUCACUCGAAGCUUGGAUGCAAAGAACAGGGACAGGUUUACUCAGAAUCUGACUGUUUUCAGGCAUGAAUUCCGUGUGAAAUAGCUCGGAUGUUGCAUAUUGCUACCUGUUUAGGGACUGCAUUUUACCUCCAGAUACUGUGUUAGAAGAAGCCCAAGUACCUUACAUUAAUUUGACCAGUAAGCUUGGACCAUGUUUGCUGUUGGAGAGGAGCUUCUUUUUGAUGCAGUAUCUAUAUUUGUUGCCAAAUCAUUAAGAAGCACAAGGUAAAAGGUUUGCAAUGAAGUUGUUUACGACUUUUUCUUUUUGUACAGUUUUCCAUUUUUCUUUUCUCAGGUUCCUUUUUGAAAGGAUACUAGAAGUGUAAUACACAAUGAUGAGGGGAUUACCAAAGACUUGCAGAAGCUAGUGGUGGGUUUGAUAGUAGUCUAUGUUUAGGGUAUUUAUUCUUUCUAAAACAAAGAUGUAAAUCAUUCAUGGGGAUUAUGUUUUAAAGGUGGAGACGAGUAGAUUUAUUUGUACAUUAACCUCAAAUAAUUCUUUUGUAUUUGUUGAUAAUAGAAAGAAAAGGAAUGAUAUUUUAGUGUGCAAUUCUUGUUUUUCCUGCUUAUACUAUUCCUGGUUAGCCAUAGAUAUAUUUUGUAAGGGCUGAUUUAGAUUUAGAACACGAAUACCAUAAAGCUAUCAGGGGCAUUAGUGACGGGGACCAUUUCGCGACCAAAAUGUAACGACCAAUUUACUUCCACGCAGCGACUAAAUGCUUUUCGAUCAAAUAACAAUGAAUUAGCGACCAAAACAGCGAUCAUUUCGCGACCAAAAUUUAACGACCAAUUUACUUCCAUACAGCAACCAAAUGCUCUUCCCUGAGACGAUCAAAUAACAACGAAAUAGCGACUAAAUUAGCGAUCAAAUUAGCGACCAUUUCACAACCAAAAUUUAACGAUCAAUUUACUUCCACCCAGCGACUAAUAUUUCUAAUACUUAAUUUGUCAUGACACCAAAUUAGCGACCAAAAAAUGGUCGCUGAUUGGUCGCUAUUUUAGCGACUAAUUUUCAGAUUGUCGCCAAAACUUUAGCGAUUGGCCAAACACCGACCAUUUCGUUUUGGUCGCUAAAUGGUCGCUAUUUCAUAAUAGCGAUCAAAUCUUUCUUUUUAGCGAUCAAAAUUUUGGUCGCUAAAUCACUGUUUUUUUGUAGUGUAUGCAUCUCUCUUUUUUCUGAUGAAAUCAACAUAUUUGUUACAUUUGAUGAAUUCUCUCCCAUGCUCUGUUAUUGUCAUGCCUCUUUCAAGUAGAUAGGACUCCUCAUCUCUUAUAUCUAGUCGUAUAAGAUAUGUGCUUCUUUGAACUUCUUCAUGAAAUGCUCCAAAGUAAUUUCCUAUAGUGCUUCCAGGUGAUUGAUAAUGGAUUUCCAGCAUUAGUAGGCUUUAGCCUAAAGAAGAGACAAAAACAUCCUUUAGUCCUCUUUAGUUCAUCUUCUACUACAGCUUAGUCAUCCUCUUUUUUAGUUGCUAAAUAAAUAGACCGCACCUUUUAAGUUUUUCAAUUGAUGCUUUUGAUGGUUCUACACCUUUUAUUUGUUUUACCAUCUUUGCCAGCUGAUUGAACUCGAGUUACUCCCUUUAGGGUGCUCCUACUGACAGUUAGAGUUGAUCUUUACUAUACUCUUCUGCAUUUUGAGGGUAAUGGCUUUCUGCUUAUUAUCUGUGCUCAUUGAUACCAUUCCAUUUGGUUACCUACUUUGGAUGAGUAUAUACUUCAAGUAAAAUGUUAUCUUUUAUAGAACAAUUAUAUAUCAUUUCAUGUCACUAUAUUUCUUAGACUUUGAUAACUAUUGGUUCGCAGAUACCCAAGAAUAAUUAAGCCCAUGUAGGGAGGCCGGAUUGUAGCCUCGUCAAAGCCAGCUACGCGAGUCCACCCACUAGCGCGCGACCCUGACCUCGUGCAAAUAAGCUGAACAGGACUCUGAUCCAUCAUAGGAAAAUCCAGCUCAACUGAUUUGAUGGGUUAGUGGAACAAUAGACCCCUACACAUACAGAAUUGGUACACAUCUAGAAUUGUGUCCACAUGGCAUUGGAGGGAAAUUAAAUAAUUGCCUGAUAUUGGGAAAAGGCACAGUAGUAGGUUAUAGAUAUAUAGACAUAUAUGAGAUUACAAUGGUGUAUAUGUGUGUGUAUAUUAUAUAUAUAUAUAUAUAUAUAAGGAGCCGAAAAACAAAUAGGUCCAUAGGAACAAAAACCCUAGACUCAGGGGGUCUAAAAAAGAAAGGGCUAGAAGCCAAAUAUAGGAACCAUAAUUCUAAUGGGUUGACAAAUCCGAGAAGGAGCUCUAAUCUCUAAACUUAGCAACGCUGCAUUGCGAUCUCUUCCAAUGAGAAGAACCGGUGAAAGAGCACAACUGAUGAUGUUGUCGUCAUUGUCCAACACCCAAAGGAGCAAGCAAACCUCCAGCAAGGCUUCAAAAGUAAACAAACAUAACCAUACGCACUGGAGGUUCCACCAGACGAAAGCCAAAAAGUUCAGAGCCAAAACAGGGAACAAAGAGCAGCAACAACCAAACACGUCUUCAGGCGGUAAAGCAAAGCUCUUUUAGCAUUAUCAAUCUCUUAUAACCAUUUGAGAGACCGAAUGCAUCACAAGGAGGGUGGAAUCUCUAAUAUCCUCAGAAAUACCAAAACCAACAGAAACCCAAAGAUUUUAAGGGAGGAGACCGUAAAGUAACUUCAUCAAUGCCUAAGCUCUCCAAGAAAAGACUUUCAACUCUUCCAAUAACACAUACAAAAAAGGAAAAUAAGGAAAACACACAAACAAAUCCAAACAUGCAGAUCAAAGGAUAGGUGCUCUCUCAAUAUGCUCAAACUGUUGGGUAGCUAGAUAAAAAUAAAAAAUCUACGACUCACCCAGAUGGAGGAGAGCAGAAUCCAUAUCCGAAUGAGGGAUGGAGACUUCAGGUGGGGAAAGUAGUCGCUCGGGACAAAUAACUUAGGCAGAUAAACUUAGGUGAAGUCCUAAGAGAAAGAAACAAAAAAGAGAGAGAAGAUAGAAACACAUUCUCCAAGCUUUCAUCAAAUGUAUCGCUAAGAUUUGCACCGCUUUUGAAGCCAAAUAUUUUCACCCCAGCUGUGCAUUGGAGAUCCCGUUACCAUUAUUAAAAUACUCUCUUCAAUAUUAAAUUUCUUCUUCAACGCAACGAUACCUUCAAUACCCCAAAUUUGGCAAUGCUACGAGGAUUUCAAAUUCUUUGAAUUCAAUUCCCUCCUCAUUUUCACCAAUCUUAGCCUAUGGAAUAGAAGGUGAUGAAAUAAUAAUAUUAAAAAUCUUAUUUUAAGGGAAAUUGUCACAGUCUUUUCUGCAUUGCAUGGAGAAUGGAAGAAGUAUGAGAAAACUAUAUGAUGAAUUAAUGAGUUAAUUCAAAAUAUAGAAUUAAAUAUUAAAAACUAAAUAUUAACUAAUCUUACGGAGAAUAAGUUGUAACUACAAAGAUGGCAGUCAUAAAGAGCCUAUUUUUCUUCUAUCAUCUCAUACAUAGAGAAGAAAGCCAGCAUCCUCCUGAAGGACUGUUAGAAAUUGUCUUAGAAGUUAAACAUGCUGUGUAGUUCCUAUUUUUCUGUUUAGGUGGUUUGUUAAAUGACUUGGUUUACAACUUUAAACCAAGUUGUAGGAAAUUUGUUACUUAUUUUUUCUGUUAAGCAUGUUUGUUUCUAUGUUUUGAUCAUGGGUAGAAUUAUGGGCCAUGAUCUUUCAUCAGUUAUUUUUAUUUUGUAUUUAAACAGUAUUUUCUUUCAAUGAAUUGUGUGGGGUUCAGUUCUGUCCUUCUCUGUUUUUGCUAACACUUGGUAUCAAAGCUCCUUAUCUUAAAGGACCUGUGAUAAUUUGAGUGUGAGUUUUUUUUUUCGUUAAGGGUUAACAGAAAUACUAACCCUCUCCAAGUUUCAAAUCUUGAUUCAAAUCGCUUCAAAAGAUGAUUGUCCUGUUCCACCUCCAGUGUUCACCUGAGAAAAUUAUCAAUCAUGGUCAGCAUGAGAUCUUUGGGAAGCAGUGGCUGAAGACCUUGAAAUUGAUCAACUGCCUGAGAAUCCAACUCUGCAGCAGAUCAAAACACACAAAGAGAAAACUACAAAGAAGUUUAAGACUAAAACAUGUUUGUAUUCAGCUAUGUCUGAAUCACUUUUUACCAAUAUUAUGAACUUGGAGACUGCCUUUCACAUCUGGCAGUAUCUCAAGGCAGAGUUUCAAGGUAAUGCACGUACCAAAAGCAUGUGUAUCUUGAAUCUCAAAAGGGAACUUGAACUACAAAAGAUAAAAGACUCUGAAACUGUGAAAGAGUAUGUUGAUAGGCUGCUGGAUAUUAUCAACAAGCUUAGGCUUCUUGGUGAAAAUAUUCCAGAUAGCAGAAUAGUUGAGAAGAUUCUGGUAACAUUACCAGAAAGAUUUGAAGCCAAAAUUUCUGCACUAAAGGAGGUUCGUGACCUUAUAGAAAUUUCCUUGGCUGAGUUGCUAAAUGCUCUUCAUGCACAAGAGCAAAGAAGGAAGAUUAGAGAAGAUGGUUCAAUUGAAGGCACAAUGCAAGCCAAGUUGCAACUUAAGGACUCUUAGAAAAAUAAGAAAAAAUAAGGAAAGGAGCAAAGACAAUCCAGGUGCAGGUGUUGGAAACAAUUCUUUUCUUAGAGCAAGUAACAAUGGUGCAACAAGCAACAAAGGAAGAACUUAUCACCCUUGUCAACAUUGUGGUAGAACCAAUCAUCCUCAUUUUAGAUGUUGGAGCGGACCUGAUGCAAAAUGCAACACAUGCAAUCAAAUGGGGCAUAUUGACAAAAUUUGCAAAAACAAGGGCAAUCAGGCAGUGAAUGAGGCUCAAGCUGUGAAUUAGGAGGAGGAAGAACAAUUAUUUGUGGCAUCUUGUUCUGUUAGUUCGGCUGAUACUUGGCUAGUUGACAGCGAUUGCACAAAUCAUAUGUCUAAUAAUAUCGAACUCUUCAAGGUUCUUGAUAAGACAUCAAUCUCAAAAAUUCGUGUUGGAAAUGGAGAAUAUAUUUCUGCAAAAGGUAAAGGUUCAAUUGCAAUUGAAAGUAUUUAUGGAACUAAAGUCAUUAUUGAUGUGUUGUAUGUUCCAGAUAUUGACCAAAAUCUUUUAAGUGUUGGUCAAUUACUUGAAAAAGGUUUUAAGGUGUGUUUUGAGAAUAGAAGCUGUAUCAUUAAAGAUGCCAAAGGAUUGGAGGUAUUUACAAUCAAAUAAAGGGGAAAAGCUUCCCUUUUGAUUUGAUGGAGGAGGAGUAUUCAGCUCAUCAAGUCUCUGUCAAAACCACUAACCUUUGGCACAAGAGGUUGGGUCACUAUCAUCAUUUUGCUUUAUUGUUUAUGCAAAAACAUGGGCCGGUACAGGGCAUGGGUUCACUUGAAAAGGAAAUAUCUAGUUGCAAUGCUUGUCAAUUUGGCAAACAAAUCAGAUUGCCUUUUGCCAAAAUAGCUUGGAGAACCUCACAAAAGCUUCAACUUGUUCAUACUGAACUUGGAGGGUGAUAUCAAACACCAUCACUUAAAGGCAGUAAGUAUUAUAUUGCCUUUAUUGAGGAUUUAACUCGAAUGUGCUGGAUAUAUUUUUUUAGAUUCAAAUCAGAAGUGGCUGGAGUGUUUUGGAGAUUCAAUACAUGGACUGAAAAUCAAAGUAAAUGUAAGAUGAUGGUGUUAAGAUCUGAUAAUGGAAAAGAGUAUACCUCAUAUCAGUUCAAUAAAUUUUGUGAAGAGGCAGAGAUCGAGUAUCAAUUGACUACUUAAUAUACUCCCUAGCAAAAUGGAGUAAGUGAGCAAAAAAAUAGAACUAUAAUGGAGAUGACUCGUUGCUUGUUGCAUGAGAAAAACCUUCCUAAAAAGUUUUGGGCAGAAGCAGCCAAUACUACAGUUUUUUUAUUGAAUAGAUUGCCUACUAAAGCUCUCCAGAAGCAUACUCCUUACGAAGCAUGGUAUGGUCACAAACCCUCUCUCACAAAUCUGAAGGUGUUUGGAUGUUUUUGUUUCUCUUAUAUUUCUCAAGUUAAAAGAGAUAAAUUGGACAAGAAAUCUGAGCCUGGAAUUUUCAUAGGCUAUAGCAGUGUCUCAAAGGCCUAUAGAAUAUUUCAGCCACAAAAUGAGAAUAUCAUAAUAAGUAGAGAUGUUGUUUUUAUGGAGGAUGACCAAUGGAAUUGGAGUGCAUGUGACGAUAUUCAACAUUUGAGUAUGCAGCAGCCUACUGUGGAGGAUGUUGAUGAACAACCAGUUCGUGGUACACAGUUGCUAUAUGAAAUCUAUGCAAGAUGCAAUGUAGCAUUAUUAGAGCCAGCAAGUGUUGUUGAAGCAAUGAUGGAGUAAAAAUGGAAGUUUGCCAUGGAAGUAGAGAUGCAAAUUAUUGAAAAAAAUCAAACCUGGAAGCUUGUUGAGAGACCUCAAAAUAGGAAAAUUAUAGGGUGAAAUGGGUUUUCCGAACAAAGCUUAAUGCUGAUGGAUCAAUAAAUAAGCAUAAGGCAAGGCUCGUUGUGAAGGGCUAUGCACAAGUCUUUGGUGUGGACUUCUCGAAGACUUUUGCUCCUGUUGCAAGGCUUGAUACUAUUAGAUUAUUGUUGGCUAUGGUAGCCCAAAAAGGCUGGAAGGUGUUUCAGUUAGAUGUCAAGUCUGCGUUUUUGAAUGGUCUUUUGGAGGAAGAAAUUAAUGUCGAGCAGCCAGAAGGUUUUGUUGUGCAAGGGCAUGAAGAUAAACUGUAUUUGCUUAAAAAGACAUUGUAUGGCCUUAUGCAAGCACCAAGGGCUUGGUACAGUCGUAUGAAUGAUCACUUGCUAAGCUUAGACUUUGUAAAAAGUCUUAGUGAAUCAACUUUAUAUAUAAAGAAAAAUGGUGUUGAUUUGACCAUUGUUUCUAUUUAUGUUGAUGAUCUUCUUGUUACAAGAAGCAAACAGGAGCUUAUUGACUGUUUUAAGGCUGAAAUGUUCAAAGAAUUCGAAAUGAUAGACCUUAGAUUGAUGUCUUAUUUUCUUGGUUUGGAAGUAAGACAAAGGAAGAAUGAGAUCUUCAUCAAUCAAACCAAAUAUGCAAAAGAGAUCCUAAAGAAGUUUCAUAUGGAAGGGUGUAAGCCAAUUGACACUCCUAUGCAGCCUAGAGUAAAAUUCUAUAAAGAUAAUGGUGCUGUCAAAGUGAAUGAAAAUCAUUAUAGAAGUUUACUUGGUUGUCUCAUGUAUCUCACCGCCUCCAGACCUGAUAUAAUGCAUGUUGUUAGCCUUCUCUCUAGAUUUAUGCAUUGGGCUAGUGAGGAACAUUUACAAGCUGCAAAACGUGUUGUGAGAUACACAAAGGGAACAAUUGAUUUUGGAGUAAAAUAUGCUUGCUGUCAAAAUUUCAAGUUAGUUGGUUUUUCUGACAGUGAUUGGGCAAGUUCAAUAGAUGAUAUGAAAAGUACUACAGGUUUCUACUUUAAUUUUAGAUUAGGUGUGAUCAAUUGGUGUUCCAGAAAGCAAGAAAACAUUGCUCAAAGUACUGCAGAGGUUGAAUUUGUUGCUGCAACUACUGCAGCAAACCAUGCUUUGUGGCUCAAGAAAAUUCUCAAAGAUUUGAAUGAAGAACAGCUAGAGCUAAUGCCAAUCUUUGUUGAUAAUCAGGCAGCCAUAUUAAUCUCAUCUAAUCCAGUAUUUCAUGGGAAAACAAAGCAUUUUAAGAUUAAGUUCUACUUUCUGAGGGAAAUUCAAAAAUAAAGAGAAGUGUUGUUAGUUUAUUGUAGAACUGAGGACCAGGUCACUGAUGGUUUUACUAAAGCUUUGCCUAAAGCUAAAUUUGAAGAUUCAAGAAAUAAAAUGGGAGUUUGCAGCAUCAAACACAAGGAGGAGUGUUAGAAAUUGUCUUAGAUACUACUGAUUUGCUAAAGUUGUUAAACGUGCUGUGUAGUUCCUAUUUUUCUGUUUAGGUGGUUUGUUAAAUGACUUGGUUUACAACCUGUAACCAAGUUGUAGGAAAUUUGUUAUUUAUUUUUUCUGUUAAGCAUGUUUGUUUCUAUGUUUUGAUUAUGGGUAGAAUUAUGGGCCAUGAUCUUUCAUCAGUUAUUUUUACUUUGUAUUUAAACAGUAUUUUCUUUCAAUGAAUUGUGUGGGGUUUAGCUCUGUCUUCUCUGUUUUUGCUAACAAGGACCAAAACCUUAGUAGAUGGUGCAAAGGGCAUAGGUGGUUGAAUUAUCAGAGAUUGCAGAUACAUAAACCUACCACCAUGUGCUGCCCUUGCCCUUAUUGGCUCCAUACAAGCGGAAGAGGCUGAAAGCAGAGAUACAAGACAGUGCCACCAUGCUAACACUUACCAACAGUGAACUUGCUGUUCCCUCCCCAACUUGGUUGCAGAAUUUUCCAUACAUAUUGCAUACCUUCAUCCAUUGUAGUUCUGGUUGUCCUAACUUCGCAAAUACUGAAGACUCUGCAGCAGCUGCAACUGCUGCUACUGUUACGUAUGCCAUCACCUGCACAAAUGGCUUAAUGAGUAAGAAUUAGGUGGCCUUAUGUUUCAAAAAUUAGUCCAGAAAAUAUUUUUCAAAAAUUUUAGUUGCAACGUGAAAAAAUAAAUGCAGGUAACAAAUUUAUAGUAAUAAGAUUUUAGAAGUCCAAAAAAUUGAUUUUUUUAAAAAAAAGAGCAAGUCAUUUUCUUUAAAAAUUAUUAACUAAUUUUUCUGAAUGCUUUAAAUGUCAAAAAAUGGGAAAAAAAAUAUGUAUAUAUAUUUAUAUUUUUUCUCAAAAGUAUUUUACAGCAUUUAGUACUUCAACAUUAUGGAGCCUUUCCAAGCCUCUAGCUCAGAUUUAUCAUAAACCUUUUAAAGGAAAAGAAUGCUGAAAUGAAUCAUUUGUAUUAUAAAUAAUAGAUCCCACUACUAGACUACUACUCUCUCUAUAAACAGAAUCCUUUAACUUUUUCACUACAUAACAUUGAUUCCACUACUAGACAACUAACUUCUCCAUUUCUGAGUUAACAACAAGCACUACAGAUUCAUCUUUGACUUUUCUUUUUCUUUCUUUUUCUACUGCAAAAAGCAUACAAGUUAUACUCGCUCCAUAAUUUGAUCACUGUGUUUAAACUGAAAGGAGCCGGAUAGGAUCCGGAUGACAUUCAUCACUAAUAAAACAAAAAAUUGAAAAUGGAAAGAUACUAGAAUUUAUUAUGAAGAUGGCUGUUCAAAAUGAUUCCUAUUACAAGACUGAAUUACUUCAAGAUCUUAAGUUGAAAUCUAAAAGAAGAAUGUGAGACAGAAGAGAAUAAAAGAGUCGAGGCUAAAAGUACAACUACUCCAGCAAGUUAACCGGGCUUUAGCCAAUUCUACAGUUAUGUGGUUGACAAAAUAUACAAGGCGUAUAACCAUAGUUGUAAAAUUGAGAAUUGAAAUUUUCAUUUUGUGAAUCUUGAAUCAAGAAUCGAAUCUUACGAUUCAGAAAAACAUAUUUAAAAAUUAAUUAAAAAUAAU
rnacentral:lncRNA from 1 species